rnacentral:lncRNA from 1 species
AAUCAGGUCCAGGAUCAGGAACUGAAAGCAAAGAAUCUCUAAAGUGAUUCUUGCUUGCAGACCUCAGAACCCAGGUCCUCUCUCCAUACUUGAUAAUUCCAGCCACAACCAUUGGAAUGGACAGAAAUGUGGGUGGAGUCCCUGCCCAAGACCUCAGAAGCACGUAAAAAGCCACCCCAACUUGGACAACCAGUCCAAGCAAGUGCCUUAACCACAACUCAUUAUCUUCUAAAGAGUAAGCGGUGAUAGUAUCCGGGCCACUAAGGUGCAAGAGAAGGAACGGUACCCAAAAUGCCAUGAGGGUAUAGUUUGGAUCCAGAAGUUUACCUUGCGAAUCUCCUUGGCUUCUGGAGAGGGUACCAAGGGCUACUGUGGCCACCCAGUCUGCAGCCAUGUAUGCCGACCAAAUCAGGAUUCUGAUCCAAGGUCUAAAUGUGUACUUUCGUCGGUUGCUAAAGAUGAUGAGGACAAUUUGUAGGAAGAGGCUGAAUAGAACCAUCAAGCGUAUCUCCCCUUCAUUCCAAAGUUUGCGUAUGCUUUCUGGGAAUGUCUGUAUUGCUCGCCCCUUCUCCGUCAAGAUCAAACUACUAGCAACUAAAAUUCAAAAACAUUAGAGCCAGAAAUGAAGAAUAAAAGAUAGAUUGUUGGAAAAAUAAUAUCAACUUACAUGUGACUAGCAUUGUUACGUUGGGUGGUUUUGCACGCUAAGAAGUUAAGCGAAGCUCAACUACAACAGAUUUUGGCAAGUAGUUUUUGACGUCAUAUUCCAAUCUGACUGCCUCACCUUGUGCCCAUAUAUAUAAGGGAAAAGUAGAGAGAAUCACAAGUGUAGGACAUGGUGUGACACUCGCAUAAAAAAAAGGGCAUCAUAUGCAACUACAUGUUAUUUUUAUUCUUUUUCUAAUUCAUGAAGCAUUUUAGUUAAAAAGAUUCAAUUAAUGUAUUUAUUUAUCUAAGCUAAAUCAUUUUUUUCUUUUUCAAUUAAAUUUAAAUUUUUGAAUCAAUUUAGUUACAAUUUAAUUUUUGUGCAUAUAUAUAUAUAUAUAUAUAUAUAUUUCAACUUGACUAGUUAGUGAAUUGUAUGUAUAUACCAAAUUUUCGAAUCAAGCGAAGUUUGAGUUUACCAAAAUAGAAAAAUAUCAAAUUUUCCAUAAAGUAAUGAAGGAAAUCAAUGGACAAAAGAGGGGGGGGGGGGGGAGAGCAAAAAAUAUAUACAAUUUAAGCUGUUAAACGAACUCAAUAUUCUCCGAGUCAAUCCAUGCAAUCCAACGUCUCAUGAAUUUUAAACAAUUUCUCAGAAGAAUAAACAAAUGAAGCAUAAUUAAAAAGAAGAAGAAGAAGAAAGAAUCGGUUUGAAAGCAAAACAAGAAGGGGAAUAUACCAGAGAGUAUGACGGUGGGGGCUCGGUUGGAGCUGUUCACAGAGUUCAGCUCAUGAAGGUGGGAGUAGUGUGCUGGUGAGAAGGUGAUGGCUGGAGAUGGAGGCCGAGGGAAGUGAGAAUGGUGACUUUGUGACUCUUGAAUGGGUUGCAGUAGUGGUUUUAAACCAGAGAAAAAACCAGAAAAGAAAAAGAAAACAGAAGAAGAGACAGAGGAGCAAGACUGAGAGAAUCGUCUUGUUGGCCGGCCGGAGCGUGUGGCUAUAGCAAUAACUCAAAGAAAGGAAUCCAUUUCUUUUUCAUUUUCCUUUCUAUCUCUUUUUUGUCGCCAUUAAUCAAUUUUCUGUCAAUAACUGGCAACAGUGCUUCUCAAAUAUUCAACUAUGGAAACUUACAAGACUAAGAGUAAUAGGAAGAAGAUUAGAUUCAGGCGAACUGAUGUAACAGUGGAGGUCAGUCAACAGCGGUGGGGUGUUGGGGAUUGAUGUGAAGUAGAGGUUCGGGAUGUUAAGUCUUGGGAUAAUGCAAUGUUGAAUGCAUAAAAAGGUUUUACCACCCUACAUUAAUAAUCAAUUCGCUUAAAAAUGAGAUGGCGAUAUAAAGCCCUGAGCUUAGCAAGUGGUCUCAAGUUACGGAUUCAAGUCACCAAAAUAAUGAAAUGGGGGGUGAUGGUUUUUUGGAAUAGACGGUGGAGAGCAUAUUGAAGUUGGUGGGGGUGGUGUGUAUUUGGAAGAUGUGAUGUUGUUAUUAAGGUUUUUUUAAAGCUUAUAAGAGAGUAGAAACAUGGGUUUCUUAGUUUUUUCUUUGGGGUAUUAACUUAUUCCUUUGCAUAUGUCAUGGUGAUGGAGAUCUGCCAAGCUUGAUUGGAGAUGGUGAAGGGCGGCUUUGAAAGUUGGAGACAGUGAUGGGUUGGGUUGAGUUCGAAUUUUCAAGAGACGGCAAUCUGCUUCACCAAUUAAAUAUUUAAGCUUUUGUCACUUGUCAGCUUCCUUCCCUGUUUUCUUGGAAUCUUCUCCUUCCUCUGUUUUGCUUGCAUUUCAUUUUUUGGGCAGAGUCAUCUAGUAACUACAAUAGCACUUACACCCACUUUUUCAUUUAAAAUAAAAUAAAAUUCAAUCUUAAAAAUUUUAUAUGCAAUUUAGAUCAAUGAGUAAUAAUUUAUCAUAUAUUAGUAAAAUUGUCAUUAAAAAAGAUUGGUAUGAUUAAGUGUUUGUUUUUUUACUUAACAUUAACAUUAAGUAUUAAGUUAUUUGUUUUUAUAAUAUUUUAUUUUUAUUAAACAUUAAAAAAUUUUAAAAAAAAUCAACAUAUUAUUUUUUUCAUUUAGAGUUAAUUAAAAAACAAACAAUUUAAAGUCUGAAAGCAAAUUACUUUUAGCAAAAAGCUAAAAAAACAAACACUCUCUUAAGUGAUAAGUUGUUUUUUGUCCUCAUUUGUUCUCUUAUUUUGGAAGUAAAUUUAGAAUUUAUUAAAUGAAUUCUUACAAAUAAAACAAAUCAAAUAUUAUAAAAAUCGAUUGAUUUGAUAAGAAAUGAAUUUCAAAUGUAUCCACAAAGUUCCAAAAUCAAAACUGAGAUGUAACUACAUGAUGUCUGUGACUCAUCCAAUUCUCAAUAAAUUUAUAAUUUUAAAAAAUUGUAUUAUAAAAAUCCAAAGAUUAAAGAAUUAAUCUAAAUAAUCAAACAUUCAAUUCAAUCACAAAUUCAUAAAUUUAAAAAUGUAUCACAUAAAAAUCACUAAGUAAUUACUACAACUUAAUCUAGAAAAUUUUCAACACUUUGUUAGUAAUCAUACAUAAUCUAGACAUAUAAUCAUUAAAAUCUUAAUGGUUAUUUUUAGCAUAUAAAAAUAAAUAAAUUUAACAUUUAAUUUUCAAAUAUAUUAAAUUACUACUUUUUUUAAAUGAUUAGUUUUCAAAAUACCUUCAUUUCAGUUGUAUAAAAUAAGAAAUAUAAUUAUUAAUAUCAUUAUGGGGUGUUUUUAGCAUAUAAAAAUAAACAAAUUUGACAUUUAAUAACAUUCAAAUAUUAAUAAAAUAAAAAAACUUUAGUGCCUAACGAUAUUUAAAUAUAUAAAAGGUGUAAUAUUCAAAGUAUCCUGAGGACUUUCCUCGAUAUUUUCAAAGCUGGAUUGGUCAUUGAGUCAUAAAUGUCACCCCAUCAUGUAGAAUAAUAUCAACUCGAUGUCAUAAAUAUAUGAUUUUAUAUUUUAUUAAAAUAAUUAUAAGAAAUUAUAUAUAUAUAUAUAUAUGUAAAAUUAUAAUUAUAAAACUUAAUAAUAUUUCCUCUUUUUAUAUUUAAUAUCAUUAUAUUAAAUCACGGUAAAAAUGAAUAUAAAUAUAUUAAAAAUAUUAUUAAAUAAAAUAUUUAUAAUAUUUAAGAGUAAAAAUACAUUGAUGGAAAAAAAUUUAUUAUUUAAUUUUAUUUAAGCGUCAAAAGUUAUAUACUUGUUAUUUUAUACUUUUAAAAAUGUGGUAUAACUUAUGGAACAAUUUCACCUUCCAAUACUUGGAAUUACUCGGUUAAGCCAAGGUGAGACAUAAGAAGGCAGACAUGAGUGAGUAGCUCCCCGCCUCGCCGGAGUUGCUGACGGUGGUGGAGUAGUUGACGGUGUUGAAUCCAUCCACAAUGACUAGCAGCAUAGCACAACAUCUCCAUCCACACGCCACUUAUCAUCUCCCAUUUCUCUCCUGCAGCAUCUAUUUCCAAUGAUUCCAACAUUUUGGCAAGCCUACAUGCCUCAAAUAACACCGACUUGCUUUUAUCUUCUUUCGCAUCUCUGGGCUCAACUUCCGUGUCAAAUUCAAGCAACAAUUUGCAAGCUUAAUUUCUGUUAGAUAUGGAGUUGCUUCUUUCCUGAAAAGAUCUUUUGGCCUCUGAACAAAUGUCUCGGAACCGAAACUCCCCUAUUCCUUUUGGCAGCAUAAAUGGGCACAUGACUAAUAGAUACAGCAUAUACUCAGACAAGCAUUUGCUUAUUUUGCAUCUUGACUUGAGAUUGGUAUCUGGGGAUUUGUCGACAUCACAAGGAUAAUAGGAAUCUGUAGCGAUAUGCCAGAGGAGGAUGCUGUGAUCAAAUUCCACAUCAAUUAUGAUAGGAAAAACUUGGAUACAAUGGAAAAAAGAAACACUCUCAAACACUCUCUUGAUACAAUAAAACUCUCAAAGUUAUAAAAUAAGAACAAGAAGAAGAAGAACACAAGAAAGGCUCAAACAAGUUCUUGGAACUUUGUCCAAAGACUCUAUUUCCUCCCACCACUAGAAAUCUUUAGGGAACUAAUGGAAAUAGUCUUGGGAUUGAUCAAGCCUUUUCACUUUUCUACAUAAGAUUUCAAAAAGAAGAAAAUUCAUAUAAAGCACUCUUAGGGUUUGAAAAAAGGUUACAAGGAUGAGAAAAACCCAUUGUCUUCCUCAAUCUCUUCAUCUUUGUAACAUUCAAAAAUUAAAUCAUAUGUUUAAUUCACACAUUAAACAUGAUUUAAUCUCAAAUGUGUAACUCUCUUACACUUAACCUCUUAAGUUUAUAAAGUUACAAAGAUGAGAAGACUCAUUGUCUUCCUCAACCUUUCAAGUUUUGUAACAUUUCAAAACUUAAUCAUGUGUUUAAUUCACACAUUAAAAGUGUAACCCUUCUUACACUUUAUUUUUCAAAAGUGUAACUCUUCUUACACUUUAUUUUUAACCAACAAUAUAUAUAUUUAUAUAAAUAUAACAAUCCCCCACUUGGUUAAAAAUAAACAUCAACCCUUAUAACCUUAACAGUGAAAAUGCAUAAAAUAAAAUAUCUUUCGAUUUGAAUUUUACCUUAGUGUAAUUGUCACAAAGCUCCGUUGAAAUCCUAGGUUGCUUGUAGCAUUGAAUCAGUUAUUCCUUGUAACGAAACCGGUAACAACACACACACUUCCACUAACCACACGAGUGCCCAUUAUUUUCUUGCUUAGCACUUUUAUGGCCAUAUGCUCAAUCCAUUCAUGAACUUUCUUGAAAGAAACUCCAACUCUCAUGAGAGGCGGCACCACCCCUAAGUUCACAUAGGUGAAAUUCUUCCAGCAUCCUUGUUACCUUUAAGAUGCUUGUCACACAUAGACUGAAUUUCAUUAAAAGCUUUAAGCUUAACCCUCCAACGGUAACAACCAGCAUUAAUCAUCACAGAUGGAACUCACAUGUUCUAAUGCUGCCAUAACCCACUUAUCAAUGAUUUGUUUUUACCUAUUGAACUUAAGACUAGUCAUUUCGUAGUAUUAAGUUAGGUUACCAUCAUUGGUGAAUUUUAUUUAAGGAGUUUUAGUCUCAUCCCUCUAGAUGUUAUCCUUACUAAAUCUCUUGUAAGAGGUUUAGUAAAAGGAUCCGCCAAGUUUCCACUUGACCUCACAAAUGAGAUUGAGAUGAUUCCAUAUUGAAUCAAUUGUCUUACAUACUCAUGUCUAAUGCUUAUAUGUCUAGACUUCCCAUUGUACACUCCACUGUACACACGAGCUAGAGUGGCUUGACUGUCACAAUGUAUCGACACUGUUGACACAUUAUUUGCAGUAAAAGGGAUGUCCAUCAUGAGAUCCCUAAGCCACUCAGCUUCUUUUCCAGUUGCAGCUAGAGCUAUAAACUCUGCCUCCAUGGUUGAGUGUGAUAUACAAGUCUGUUUCUUGGAUCCCCAAGAGACAGCCCCACCACCGAGUGUAAACACCCAACCUGUGGUAGAUAAAUUAUCUCCCACACUCGAUGACUGUCACAAUGUAUCGACACUAUUGACACAUUAUUUGCAGUAAAAUGGAUGUCCAUCAUGAGAUCCCUAAGCCACUCAGCUUCUUUUCCAGUUGCAGCUAGAGCUAUAAACUCUGCCUCCAUGGUUGAGUGUGAUAUACAAGUCUGUUUCUUGGAUCCCCAAGAAACAGCCCCACCACCGAGUGUAAACACCCAACCUGUGGUAGAUAAAUUAUCUCCCACACUCGAUAUCCAGCUUGCAUCUGAAUACCCUUCAAGUAUAGCAGGAAGCUUUGAAUAUUGGAGGCUUAGUUCUUUGGUAUUCUUUAGGUAACCAAGAACUCUACCAAUAGCUUUCCAAUGUUCCACGCUUGGAUUGCUAAUAAACCUACUUAGUUUACUAACUGCAGAUGAAAUGUCAGCCCUAGUACACUGAGCAGCAUACAUAAGACUUCCAAUUGCACUUGCAUACUCAAGUUGAGCCACCGAUCUACCAUCAUUCUUUUCAAGUUUUAUACUUGAAUCAAAUGGAGUAUUAGCAUCUUUAAUCUUGAGAUGACUAAAUUUGCUAACUACUUUCUCAAUAUAGUGGGUUUGGUUCAAAGCAUAACCUCUACUAUUUCUUUUUACUUUGAUACCCAAUAUAGUAUCAACUUCUCCAAGAUCUUUCAUCUUGAAGGUUGAGGAUAGAAACCUUUUCGUUUCUAUUAUUCCUUUCAUGUCAUCACUCAAGAUUAACAUGUCAUCCACAUAUAGACACACUAUGACCAUAUAGUCAUCACAAGUCUUAGAAUAUAAGCACUUGUCCACAUUGUUGUGUCUAAAUCCAUCCGAAAGAAUAGCAUGAUCAAAUUUUUCGUGCCAUUGUUUGGGAGCUUGUUUUAAACCAUAUAAUGAUUUGACAAGCUUACACACUUUGUUUUCAUUCCCCAGUAGAACAAAACCUUCCGGUUGUUCCAUGUAGACCUCCUCAUUGAGAUCCCCAUUCAAGAAUGCCGUUUUCACAACCAUUUGAUGAACAAAUAGAUUAUGAAUUGAUGCCAAAGCAAACAAUAUCCUAAUCGAUGUUGUUCUAGCCACCGGCGCAUAGGUAUCAAAAUAAUCAAUACCUUCUCUUUGUUUAAACCCCUUAGCUACUAAUCUAGCCUUAAAGGUUUGAAUCAUGCCAUCGGUGUGAUAUUUCCUUCGAAAUACCCACUUGCACCCUAUUGGUUUAGAUCCUGGUGGAAGGUCUACCAAUUCGCAUGUUUGGUUGGACAUAAUAGAAUCCAUUUCAUCAUUGAUAGCCUCUUUCCAAAAAGCAACAUCUCUAGAAGCCAUAGCUUCUUUGUAUGUUUUGGGAUCCUCCUCUAUUUGAAGUACUAUAGAAAUUUUUCUUAUAAUAUCUUCUUUAUUUCCUUCUACUAAGUAAAAGGAAAUUCUUUGAGAGUCAAUCUCAUCCGAUCCCAACACUUUCUCUUUUUUAGCUCUUUGGCUUUUCCGAGGCACAAUGGGUUGCUCAACAACCUUUGAAGGUGUCUCCUCUUGAGACUCUCCAACACUAGUAGGUACUUGAGAAUUGCUAUCACUCAACAAAUUCUCAAAGAACUCUACCUCUCUUGAUUCAAUUAUCACAUUAGACUCCAAGUCUAAUAGCCUAUAAGCUUUGUUAUUUGAGGCAUAGCCUACAAAUGCACACUUAAUGGUUCUUGGACCCAAUUUUGUUUUAUUUGGAUCCAUUUUCUUGCAAUAAGCAAGACACCCCCACACUUUGAAGUAACCUAUAUUAGGCUUCCUUCCUUUCCAUAACUCAUAUGGAGAUAUCUCAUUUUUCUUCAUAGGAAUUCUAUUCAAAAUAUGGCAAGCAGUCAACAAAGCUUCACCCCACAAAUUGAAAUUCAAUUUAGCAUGCAAUAACAUAGCAUUCACCAUUUCCAAGAAUGUUCUAUUCUUUCUCUCCGCUAUGCCAUUGUGUUGAGGUGUAUAGGGUGCGGUGCACUCAUGUAUUAUGCCAUAUUCUUCACAAAAAGAAUUGAAUUCACUAGAGAAAUAUUCACCACCUCUAUCACUUCUAAGCACCUUAAUAUUUUUUCCUAGUUGAUUUUCAACUUCGGCUUUGUAAACUUUAAAGGCAUUGAAAGUUUCACUUUUGUUUUUCAACAAAAACACAUAGGUAAAUCUAGAACAAUCAUCUAUGAAUGUAAGAAAAUACCUAUUUCCACCUCUUGUUAACAUGUCAUUAAGUUCACAAAGAUCACUAUGUAUUAAAUCAAGCAAAUUAGAUGAUCUCUCAACACUAUGAAAAGUCUUUUUAAUCAUCUUUGAUUUAACACAUAUUUCACACUUUUCAAAUUUCUUGGUAUCACAAGCAAUCAAACCACAUUUCACAAUCCUUUUAAUAGUGCUUAAACCAACAUGUGCAAGCCUAUUAUGCCACAAAAAUAAAGAAUUUGAAUCACACAUAUAAGCAGAAGUAGACGUCAUUUUAUUGAUAUUGUCAUUAGUACUAAGUUUGAUCAUCCCAUCACAAGAAUACCCCUUUCCCACAAAGUUCCCUGAUUUGGAUAAAAUUAGCUUACCGGAUUCAAACACAGCUUUGAUACCCGAUUUGCCAAGCAAAUCCCCACUAACCAAAUUUUUUUUCAUAUCGGGGACAUACAAUACAUUUAUAAGGGUAACCUUUUUGCCGGAGGUAAAAACAACUUCAAUAGUGCCCUUGCCAAGCACCUUGGAUCUUCCUUCAUUGCCCAUUUGAACCUCUUGAUCUCCCUUUGCAUCUUCAAAGGUCUUGAAAAGAGAUUUGUCAUAGGUAACAUGAAUUGUGGCACAAGUAUCAUACCACCAUCCUUGCACCUUUCCUUGGACAACGCACACAUCGCUUAGUGUUGCAAUGAUCUCCUCAUCAAUUGCAUUCACCACAGCCCCUUUUUGGUCUUUUCGGUACCUACACUCCCUAGCAUAAUGCCUGGGUUUUCCACACACAAAACAAGGACCUUUCUUGCCCUUAAAUUGCUCUUGAUUUUUCUUGGGGCUCAUAUAAUUUCCGGAAUUUCUUUUGUUAUUUUUACCUCUAGGAUGAUUGGCCUUUGAAACCGCAUUGGCUUUGUUAGUCCCACCAUUGGACUCUUCCACCAUUUUGUCUCUUGAUCUCGAUUCUUCCUCAAUGAGAAGAUGUUUUUGAAUCUCUUCCAAGGAGUAAUCUUCACUCUUGUGGAGAAUCCUCUUCCGGUAACCUUUCCAACUUGAUGGUAAUUUAGCCACAAUAGCACCAACUUGGAAGGCCUCUGGAAGUUCAAUUUUGAGAACUUUCAACUUAUUCACAAUUACUUGCAACUCAUGAAUUUGUGGUAAGAGAGGCUUUUCAUCAAAAAAUUUGAAAUCUAUGUAUUGAGAAAUGAGAAACUUUUUGGUACCUUCUUCCUCGGCUUUGUACUUGUUUUCAAGAGCCUCCCAAAUCUCCCUCGCGGAAUAGGUGUUGGUGUAGAGAUCAUAUAGCCUAUCGGAUAAGGCGUUCAAAAUAUGACCCCUACAUAUGAGCUCAUCCUCCUCCCUCUUCUUCCUUGCCACCACCACUUGAGGUGUGUCAUUUUCCUUUGGUUCCGGUAAUGGUGCCAAGGUAGGAUCAAGGAUGUAGAAAAUCUUGAGUGCUGUAAGAAGGAAUCUUACCUUGUCUUACCACCUAGUGAAGUUGGAACCAUCAAAACGAUCCAACCUCACAAGGUCUUGGUUCAUAAUCUUGAUAGUCUCUCCUUCCAUUGAAGAUUAGAGUCUUUGAUUGAUAGGAAAAACUUGGAUACAAUGGAAAAAAAAAACACUCUCAAACACUCUCUUGAUACAAUAAAACUCUCAAAGUUACAAAAUAAGAACAAGAAGAAGAAGAACACAAGAAAGGCUCAAACAAGUUCUUGGAACUUUGUCCAAAGACUCUAUUUCCUCCCACCACUAGAAAUCUUUAGGGAACUAAUGGAAAUAGUCUUGGGAUUGAUCAAGCCUUUUCACUUUUCUACAUAAGAUUUCAAAAAGAAGAAAAGUCAUAUAAAGCACUCUUAGGGUUUGAAAAAAGGUUACAAGGAUGAGAAAAACCCAUUGUCUUCCUCAAUCUCUUCAUCUUUGUAACAUUCAAAAAUUAAAUCGUAUGUUUAAUUCACACAUUAAACAUGAUUUAAUCUCAAAUGUGUAACUCUCUUACACUUAACCUCUUAAGUUUAUAAAGUUACAAAGAUAAGAAGACUCAUUGUCUUCCUCAACCUUUCAAGUUUUGUAACAUUUCAAAACUUAAUCAUAUGUUUAAUUCACACAUUAAAAGUGUAACCCUUCUUACACUUUAUUUUUCAAAAGUGUAACUCUUCUUACACUUUAUUUUUAACCAACAAUAUAUAUAUAUAUUUAUAUAAAUAUAACAAAUUAUACUCCAACGAAGCGUUUCAAAAAACCCUUUUUUUUCUAGUUACAUAAUCACCUCUGUGUUUGAGUAGCUGCCUGCGAUCCCCGGCAUCAUUUGUCAUCUCUAGGAGCCAGCAGAAGAUGGGUUUCUUCAUGUCAUCCACCUUCUCCCAAGUCAUGUACCAGUACCUCUCCAAGAAUUUGUUCAUGUCAAAGAACCUGGGAACCGGAUUGAACUUGGUUUUGUCUCUGAGGCAAGAAUCAAUUAAAUUGUUUUGUGCCAUGCGUCUAGACCAUCUCUGGUCACUGGUUACAACUGAUUGAAAAGAGGCAAUGGCUCGGCAAAUGGAAUCAGCUAGGGAGUUGCUCUUACUGCUCAACCAGACAAUGCGCCAAUCAGACAAAAUCAGCAUAAUGAUAGAGUAAAUCUCCAGAAAAAUAGCUCCAAAGAGUAACGCGUAAGUAAUGUUGAGGUCAAUGUUUGAGAACUCAUGCCUAUCGAUGAAGAAGCAGAAGGCCGCUAAGGUAGAAAUAGUGGACAAGAAGCUGGCAGUGCGGAGAAUAAUGCCUAAUAGAGAAUAGGCCACUGUUGCCUUGGUGUAGAGCGCGUCAUACAAGAAACUAAGCUCCAUCUCUACCACUUUGAAGGCCUCUUCGAAGGACAUGCACCUGAUGAUGCCCUCACUGGUUUUUUGGUCAUCCGGGCUGAGGAUGAGGUCUGCAUAAAGAUGGCUCAAUUGCUGCUUGAAUAAGAAGUAAGCUAUAUGAAGAUAUUUUCCACCAGGAAUUUCGAUCUCUACUUUUGUGAUUGUAUUAACCUGCCUUUCGUCUUUCCUUGAACUACAUCCCUUCAAGAAAUCAGCAUAAUCAGGUCCAGGAAGCAAAGAAUCUCUAACGUGAUUCUUGCUUGCAAACCUGAGAACCCAGGUCCUCUCUCCAUACUUGAUAAUUCCAGCCACAAACAUUGGAAUGGACAGAAAUGUGAGUGGAGUCCCUGCCCAUGACCUCAGAAACACGUAAAAAGCCACUCCAGCUUGGACAACUAGUCCAAGCAAGUGCCUUAACCACAACUCAUUUUCUUCUAUAGAGUAAGCUGCGACAGUAUCCGGACCACCAAGGUGCAAGAGAAGGAAUGGUGCCCAAAAUGCCAUGAGGGUAUAGUUUGGAUCCAGAAGUUUACCUUUAGAAUCUCCUUGGCUGUUGGCGAGGGUACCAAGGGAUAAUGUUGCCACCCAGUCUGCGCACAUGUACGCCGACCAAAUCAGGAUUCUGAUCCAAGGUGUGGCUGUGUACUUUCGUCGGUUGCUAAAGAUGAUGAGGACGAUUUCUAGGAAGAGGCUUAGUGGAACUAUCAAGCGUAGCUCCCAUUCAUUCCAAAGUUUCCGCACUCUUUCUGGCAAUAUCUGCAUUGCUCUCGCUCCUCUGCUCUGUAAAAAGAUCGAACUGAAAAAACAAAACAUUCAAAAGUAUAGCCAAAAAUAGAAUAAAAGAAUAAAUUUGUAAAAUAAAAUUCUUAAAUCAAAUCCAUACAAAAAAUUUCACUUUUAUUAAUUUACCAGUCGUAACUUCCCAACAAUUUAUAACUCAACAUUAAAGUUUAGCACUUAAUUUUUAAUCUUUUAUUAAAGACCAUCUAAAUGAGCUUCACUUUUCACUUAAAAAUAGAAAGUUAGGGCAUGUUUUUUUAUAUUUGUUUUAAAUUAAGGAAUAAAAAAUAGUUUUUUUAGAAUUUAUUAAAAUAAGGGUGUUUGAAAAGUUGUUCCAAAAAAAAAAGAAAAAAACAAAAACAAAAACUUACUUAGAUAAGUUAUUUUUAAAAAUAAUUUUUCUAUUUUGAUUUUAUAAAAAACAUUGUAAAUUUAAUUUAUAUAAUAUUAAUUUAAUUUAAGUUAAGUCUUAUUACAAAAUAAAAUUAGUUCUAUAAGUAUAAAUAAAUUAAAAAAUAAAUAGUUUUUAGUAAAAACAUAAAUAAUAAUAUUAUAGUAAAAGUGUAAAUUAUAUUUUUCUUAUAAAAGAAUAUAUUAUUUUAGUAUGUGUUAAAAAAAAUAUGUAGGUACUAACAUUUUCCUAAAAGUGUCAUUAAUUUCUUUUUUGUUAAAAGAAAACAAUAAUAAUAAUUUAACGAUAAAUUAUUAAUAAUAUUUUAUUUAAAAUUGAACAAUAAUAAUAAUUUAAUAAUAAAUUGUUAAUAAUAUUUUAUUUAAAAUGAAUAUAGAAUGAAGUUUAACUUUUUUAACAUGUAAAUAAACCAAAAUUUAUAUUACAUGUAUACAUUUAGUACUAAAUUACAAACACAAUAUUCUAGAAUGCUUUGAUUUAAUAAGUUUUUUGAAUUACAAAUUAUUAUUAAAAAUUAAAAAAUUCAUCAAAAGAAUUUAAAAAUUAAUAAAUUUUAUGUAUAAAGUAUAAUUUGAUUUGAAAAUUAUUUAAUUAAUGAAAAAUUAUUAUAAAGUUAAAGAAAAUUCAUAAAAACACAUAUAAUUCAAAAGAAUAUCAAUUAAAAAAAUUUCGGUAUCUAUAUUGGAUCGUGGAGAGAAAAACAAUGAUAUCAUGUUCAUUUUUUUUAAUUCUUCUAUAUUUUUAUUUUAAAAGAAAAUCAAAUGAAAACAACUUCUACUUAUUCACUAAAAAUUAUUCUUUAUUUUACUUUGUUUUAAAAUCUGGAAAUAAAGAUAAUGGCCAAAUAGUCUUAUUAAUUUUUAAAAACACUUUUUUAUUUUUAAAAAUAGAAAUCAUUUUUUAAUCAUAGGACCAAAUAGACUUCAUAGUUUAUAAUUUCUAUAUUGUAAUAUUGCCUGAUAAAUUUUUAAUAUUGAAACUUGUAAUAGGCUUCAUUGAUAAAUAAUUUUUGUAGUUUUUAAUUUUGAAUAUGGCUUAGGGUCAAUGAUAAUUUUUUUACAUGUUGGAUUAAUAAUAUUUUUUCACAUAUUAGAUUAAUAAUAUUUUUUUUACAUGUUGGAUUAAUAAUUUUUUUUUUUACAUGUUGGAUUAAUAAUAUUUUUUUUACAUGUUGGAUUAAAAUAUUGUAGUAGAUAUUAAUUAUGUUUUUCUAAAGUGGGUUAUGCAUAAAUUUAUAAUAAAAUAUUUUUUAUUCAUAUUUGUAAUUCUAAGGACAAUUUGUAAAAUAAAUUGUUUUUAGACUUUUUUCUUUUUCCAGUUUUAUCAAAUAUUAAAUUGAAGGUAGGACUUAAAUGUCAUAAGAUACUUUUACAAUCCUUAGACCAUAUUUGGUAAAACUUAUUACUUAUUACUUAAUUAUUUAAGUUGAUUUGAAGUUAAAUUAUAUUUAAAUUUUGAUUUAACACUUAUUAUUUAAUUUUUACUUUAAACAUUAAAGUUGUUUGUUAAAAUUAGUUUAAAACUUAUUUUAAACCAUCUGUAGACCCUCAUUUAGGCAUGGGUCACCUUUUCUCUAUUUGUUUUUGCAGAUCACAUUUUUAGCCAAGUGUCACUAUCCCAGCGGGCCACGUGUCACAUCCUUAGUGGUCAUAAGAAAUCAACCUCACUUUUUGAAGCUGCAGUAGGACUUUGACACGUGGAGGAACUUUCUGAAGGGGGGUCCCGCAGGCAGAAAAGGUGGCUGCAGAAGGAGUGAGGCAGAAAAAGGUGGCUGCAGCAGAGAUCGUUGGGAAGGCAAAUCCAGAGAAAGGAGAAAAGAAAAAGAGAAAGGAGAAAAAAAAAAAAAAAAGGAAGAAAAGGAGUUUUUCUGAGAGUUGGGAGAAAAAAGAGUAUUGGUUGAACUUGAAGAAAAAAAAGAAGGGAGAAAGGGAGAGACUCGAUGGAGAGAGGAGAUAUUGGAGAAGAUGUAGAGAGAGUGAGAGGUGCUUCCAUGGUCGUUUGAGAAGGUUUUUUUUUUAGCAGAGCACCCACGAAAUAUGAAACAGUGAGUUGGAAGCCUCAAAUAUUCAGCAGAGAAAGGGAUUUCCAGGUAUGUUUAUCAAUCCUCUAUAUCUUUUAUUGAUAUUUGAAUACUCAUUGAUCUGUUUGGGGUGGAUAAUGAAGGCCGCCAGUCUGCUUGUUGAAGUAUGACCCUGCAUUUGUGUUUGCCAUUGUCCAUUUUAACUUGCUCUGAUCCUACUGUGAUUAUGCAAUGCUUGAGAAUCAUGAGGGUGGCUACUCAUCUGCUCAGAAGAUUCCUGGAUGAUUCAUGAAAUGGAUUCUCUGAGAUUUUUCUUUAUUUAUUCGUCUUCUUCCACGCUCUGUUUUUCUACUUUCCCUGUUUCUUGAUAUCCGUCCAUGGCACGCAUCCAUUUUCUCAUCCCUGCUCGAAAGAGAUCCUAGAAAAUCUGGAGUAGUUGUCAUGGCAGCGAAGCUCACCUCAUCAGCAUCCCCAUACCCAUUUUCGUUUAUUAUUCAUCGUUUUAUCCAAUAUGCCUACGUCCCCAUCGUUCAUCUAUCCACCUCCCUCUCUAAGUCGUCAUACCCAUUUCCUCACUCAAGCUUGCAAGAAUCAAGCAUCCUCCACCACACUCAUCUUCCUCUCAUUCAUUCUCCAUCUCACUCCCUCGCUUACAUGGAGUCUCACGGGUGCAUGCCAUCCUUCACUCCUUCACAUACCCAUUAAAACCACUCACCCAAGCCCCCAUAUCCAUGCAACCCAUACCUAACCUUCAUGCUACUCAUAACAACGUUCUACCUUAUCCGGAUGUCUCACAUCCGGAAUUCUUCUCCGCCGACAUUCCACCCAGACGCCUCACAUCCGGAAUUCUUCCCCCGCCGCCAUUCCACCCGGAUGCCUCACAUCCGGAAUUCCAUCCGGCCAACGUUCUACCUUAUCCGGAUGUCUCACAUCCGGAACUCUCCUCCGCUGACAUUCCAUCCGGAUGUCUCGCAUCCGGAAUUCUCCUCUGCCGAUAUUCUAUCCGGAUGUCUCGCAUCCGGAAUUCUUCUCUGCUGCCCCAUUCCACCCGAAUGCCUCGCAUCCGGAAUUCUUCUCCGCCGACAUUCCACCCGGAUAUCUCACAUCUGGAAUUCUGUCCGGCCGACAUUCCACAUUUUUCUUCAUAUUUAGAGCAUUUUCUUUAGGUUCCAAAAUCACAUCUUUAAUAAAGCUUUGCUGCCACUUUUAUUUCCGGCAAGCAAUUUUCAUACUUCCUCUGUUUUUUAAAAUGUUUUGAAAUAAGCAAGGAAUCAAAUUCCGUAAUUCCGAACAAUGGAGUUAUCGGAAUUGAUUCAGGCAAGAUAAAACGUGCUUUGGUGGGGGCCCGACAUAUGAGAUUUGAUUGGCUUGAUUAUCAUACAUAAUUGAUUUAUCCUGUUCUUUGAUAUGUAUGCAAUUAUUCCUUAAUUGUGCGCUAACCUCACUUCUUGAUAGCGCUUUAUGGAUCACUGCCUAGGUACGUAUCCACAUCCGCUCGGGUCAUUUUCUGUAUGCAUGUUUAGAUUCUCACAUGUGCAUGAUCACUCUGAGUAUUCAUUGAUUUCCUCAUCAAUUGCCAUGUCAGCUUCAUUUUAUUAGUAAAGACCCGACUUUAGGGACUUAAAAAGGUGCUACGGUCUGUACCGUACCUUUCGGAUAAGUAACCUGACCUCCGAACCCGAUCCGAUUUUUCGCAGAUCACCUUUUCCAAAUAAGGAGUCACACUUAGGGUUUUUCUUUCUUAUUUUGUUUACCCUUUAAAAAUAAAACAAAAAUAAGUGGCGACUCCAAGUCAAUUUUCUUAAUCAAAUAAAAUCGAAUUUUCCAAAAAUGAAAAUCGAGCUCGUCAUUCGAGUGGGAAACGCAUUGAGCCGAAAUGCGGGGUCCACAAAAUGGCGACUCCACUAGGGAUUUUUAGAGGGUCAAGCUUGAACUUAGAAUGAAGCAAACGUGGUAUUCGAUUGGACGAUCAGUGGAUGCUCAUAUCUUGAUUGUACAUUGAGGAUUUCUUGAUGCAUGCUUAGAUGUUCUAUUCAUUUGAGAUUUUGACAUGUUGGAUUAUUGAUGAUUGAUCUUAUUGCAUUGCUUAGCAUAUUGAUUCUGAUUUUGGCAUUAUUGUUCUGAUCACUUCACAUGCAUACACUCACUACUGUAUAUCACUUAGCUUGACAUGUUGAUUCUCUUACUUGUAUACUAUUUUGAUCGUCUUUGAGCAUGAUUUUUGUAUCACUGUUCAUCUUGAUUGUUGUAUUCUCGCUUAUCUUGUGUGUACAUGAUGAUAUAUCUGAGCUUUGCCUGAUUGCGUGUUGCAUGACUGCCUUUCUUUGCGUGAUUGUAUGCCGCUUGUCUAUGUGGGUAGCACAUCUAUCCCCUUAUCUCCAACCCUCUAGUUUCGGUCAUUUCCUUCAUUUCGGUUCUCACUUUUGCAAGUGUGAGGCCUUGUAUGUGCUUGUACUCUGACCGAGAUAGAGGUUAGGAGUAGGGUCUAGCGACGGGCUACAUCGAUGCACGGGAGCAUUCUGGAGGAGAGCGGCACUUUGAUAUCGGGAGGAGUCCGAUCGUUGAAGACCUGUAUAGCCCGGAGCUAAGUUUCAUGGAUAUUUGUGUAGCCAGUAUGUUUCCUUUCUCGUUUUAGCUUCUUAGGGUUAUUAGAUGCACCCACACCAUUCACUGUGCACUCUAGUUGGCUAUUGAGCGUUGAGAGUUUGAGAGGUUUCACCAUAGGAAACCCCCUGGGAUGUCGAGGUAGUGCAUGUGCGGAGGUGAUGACCACCUUGCAUGGAAGUGCCCCGUCUCUUCGGAGGCGUGCAGAAGGUUGUGUACCGUCGGAGGGUAUGAUCACUUCUGCUAGGGUCCUUUAAAGUCCACCCAUAUCCAUUUAGAGUCACCUUGACCUUGUCAGUUGAGCCGUAGAUCCUUCGAUUAGGACUCCCUCCCUACACGUGGGUGCAUCUGAGGGCCUUCAGAGCCUCUUUAGUUACAGUUCGGAUCCAGUAUUCCCUCUUUUUAGUCUCCAGUUGAGAGUGCUCGGAGAUCGGUAUGAGUUUGAGUAUCGGUUGGAUCACCUUUCGUCUUGUCGCCUUAGUUUGUGUUUUUCACUUGACGAGUUUAGCAUGUUUUCUCCCUAGGGUUUUUGUUCUUAUUUCUUGGCUCGACACACCCCUUCACUUUGUUUUCACUCACUCGAUACUUUGGGAUAUGUUCAUUGAUCAUCUUUUUACACUGUACACCUAUCACGGGCUCAGUACCUCAUUCUUUGUUUGAUCAUUGGUUCGAUUUUCGACUCGAUGCUCAUAUUUUCAUUACAGAAAGGUGAAAGACACAUUUUCAUAUUCACACAUUUUUUGAGAGAUUCGCCUUGAUCACCUUAUCAUUUUUUUUCUCUUAUGGAGCUCAAGUUGAAGGUUGAAUUAAGGAUAUUUUGUUAUAGAUGGAGUAUCGAUCUCGUGACAGUGUUGUUUUUCACACCUCAUUCAUUUUGUGGAUCGUUGAUAGAAAUUCUUUAGUCACAUUUGUAGCCAUCUCACAGUGGACACCUUCAUGACCUUAGAGUUUCUGUCAUAUUUCCAAUUAUAGAUUGCCAUCGCAGGACCAUAUAUCAAAUGAUGUGUUGUACUUUUGACUUGGGGCGUUUUUUUCACUUGCACAUUGUAGUCUUGAGGCUUGACCUAUCAUGGAGGAUAUUGAGCCUAUUAGCAUAGGAUCAGAGAUUUGACUUAGGGAGCUCGAGACUGUGACACAUCUUCUGAUGAUCAGAGCAGUACCUUGCUCACUUCCCACACCUUGCUUUGUUUUGACCUACAUCCAUCCAUUAUGAGUUUUGCACAGCAUCACCCUUGAUGACCAUUAUAUGACCUUUCCAUCCUCGGUUUUUCUAGCUUUACACAUCCCUUCUCUGAUUCGACCAGGUAGAGUGUGAGGAGUUUGAGCCCAGGGUUGAUCUGGCAUGGCGAGAGUUAUCUUAUGAUCUUUGGGUGGCUUACGAUGAGGAUUGGUCGAUUGCUUGAUGAGACUGUCACUUAUUUUGCCGUGAGUAUAGAGAUUGAUCUUGUAUAAUGAGAGUUGGCUUGUGAUGGGUAGUCGCACCUGAUGGGAUCACUGCUUACUUUGCUUUGAGAUGAUCAUCUUUGAGAUUAUUAUGGAGCAUUUGGAGUACAGUUGGUGCAUGAUUCUAGAGGGUUGACAUGGUUAUAUCAUAUGGACAUCGAUCUUAGGUAUCGAUCAUCUGAGGGCUUGAGAGCAUGAUUUUUGAGACCGUGGUCGUAGGAUGGGUGGCCUUCAUUUCGGUUAGCUCACACCUUAUUACCUUUAUUGGCAUCUAGACCGUUGCUAGCCCUUUGAGCCUCGCAUGAGCAUCAUAGCCUUUUCUUUCUUAUAGCCUUGCUCACCUUUUACACCGGGAUAGGGGCCCUUCAGUGUAUGCAUGCAUUGUUUGAGAGUUCCAUGAGCCUUGGACCGAGGGGCACAUCUUUCUCAUUAUCUGUUCUCAUCACUACAUCAUUGCAUUUCAUCUCAUCUCACUGUUCGUGUUAUUCAUCUCAUCAUCCUAUUCUAUCUACUAUUCGUUUCACAUCAUCUUCCUUCAUCCCGAGGGGUGAUCAUCCUCAGUUCAUUACAUGGAGGGUAGUCAUGUCAUUUCCACUAUCUAUCUUAUGGACACUGAUCCAAGGAUCCUCAGUUUGAGAAGGUCACCUCAUCAGAGAGAGUUUGUGAUAUAUUGAUAUUUGAGAGCAUGUUUAUUCAUUUUUGAUCCCGUCUUUGGGUCUUCUUUGUAUGCGUUCAGAGCAUGUACAGUUCAUUUAUAUGUCGUUAUAAAAAAAAUAAAUAAAUAAAAAUUAAAAAAUUAAAAAAAAUGGAAAAAGAAAUAAAAGCAUGUGUGUAUUUUUAUCUAUCACUGAGUAUGUAUUGAUAUCUGAGGGUCACUUGAUCGAGCAUGUUUGUUGACGGGAGUUCGUAUGUGAGCUUCCCGAGAUCCCUCAGGCUUUGUAUUCAUUUUGUCGUAUAUCUUGUGAGCGAGAUGAGUGACCUUCUCUUAGGAGCUUUGGGUCAUUGUCCAUUCCAUCAUCGUGUUCAUAGUUGAUGUGACUUCACUCCAUGUCUGAUCCGAGUCGAUCAUUACUCCUUUUGGUGUUAUUUGCUUCAUUAUCAUCAUCCUCGUUUUCAUUUCUGAUUCAUCAUUCUCAUUUCACAUCUUAUUUUUUUCCUACAGUGACCCAUCUCGGGUUUGAUACUUCCUUCACAUCAUCAUCACACAUCUCACUAUCAGUUUGAUUUGCUUCAUUUGUUUCCUCAUUUACAUCAUGUUCAUAGUAGACACCCGUAGGUCCAUGGCUCACGAUAUUUUCUAUAUAUGUUGCAUUUUAUACGUGAGGGCAUGGGUUUUGAUCAUUGGGUAUUUGGGCCUAGUUUCCCUUUAUUUCUAUCACCCUAGCCUUCGUUACGUCUGUGGACCCGCAUUUUUCACGUGCGUCCCCACUCGAUCGGCCAGACUCGCUUUUUAUUUAUUUGUGAAAAUUUGAUCUUUUGAAAAAAAGUUGGAGUCGCCACUUAUUUUAUUUUUAUUUUUGAAGGGAAAAUAAAACAAGAAAUAAAACCCUAAAAAAAAUGACUCCAUAAUUUUUGGAAAAGCGUGUCUUUGAAAACCCAAGUCUUGGUCCGGGGAUCAGGUUACUUAUUGGGAAGGUACCUCUAGGAGGUAGCACCCCUCUAAGCCCUAAAGAGGUCUCUACUAAUUAAGUUAAGGGGAAUAUGGCAAUUAAUCGGUUAAUUAUGGAUACCUAAGUAGGCUAGGUGAUUUCAAAAAAUUUGCAUGCUAAACAAGAUCAAAUUGCCAUAAAAGAAAGGUUAGGAUGCGUACCCGGACCGCUUCUCAAGCGCUAUCAUAAAACAUCAGAGUUAGUAUAGAAGUAUAACACACAACAUNNNNNNNNNNNNNNNNNNNNNNNNNNNNNNNNNNNNNNNNNNNNNNNNNNNNNNNNNNNNNNNNNNNNNNNNNNNNNNNNNNNNNNNNNNNNNNNNNNNNNNNNNNNNNNNNNNNNNNNNNNNNNNNNNNNNNNNNNNNNNNNNNNNNNNNNNNNNNNNNNNNNNNNNNNNNNNNNNNNNNNNNNNNNNNNNNNNNNNNNNNNNNNNNNNNNNNNNNNNNNNNNNNNNNNNNNNNNNNNNNNNNNNNNNNNNNNNNNNNNNNNNNNNNNNNNNNNNNNNNNNNNNNNNNNNNNNNNNNNNNNNNNNNNNNNNNNNNNNNNNNNNNNNNNNNNNNNNNNNNNNNNNNNNNNNNNNNNNNNNNNNNNNNNNNNNNNNNNNNNNNNNNNNNNNNNNNNNNNNNNNNNNNNNNNNNNNNNNNNNNNNNNNNNNNNNNNNNNNNNNNNNNNNNNNNNNNNNNNNNNNNNNNNNNNNNNNNNNNNNNNNNNNNNNNNNNNNNNNNNNNNNNNNNNNNNNNNNNNNNNNNNNNNNNNNNNNNNNNNNNNNNNNNNNNNNNNNNNNNNNNNNNNNNNNNNNNNNNNNNNNNNNNNNNNNNNNNNNNNNNNNNNNNNNNNNNNNNNNNNNNNNNNNNNNNNNNNNNNNNNNNNNNNNNNNNNNNNNNNNNNNNNNNNNNNNNNNNNNNNNNNNNNNNUGUAUAGAUAAAUAAGUAAAUAAAUUAAAAAAAAUGGUAAAAAUAAUAAAUAAAUAAAUAAGUUAAGGAAAAUAAUAUAAAGAGGACGAUAACCAAUAAAAAGUGAAUGAUAAUCAUAAAAUUAAAAUUAAAAACAAAAUAAAUAAAUAAAUAAAUAAAAUAAAAUAAAAUAAAAUAAAAGUCUUCGUAGGCCUAGUGUGCCUAAACGGGCCUAAGGUGAGACUAAGUGGGCCUAGGGUAGUGCCUAAUGGGCCAAGUGUAUCUAAAAGCUAUCCUAAAAAAACAAGAAAAGCCUAAGUCUAAGUUAGGGCUGCCAAGGGUCACAAUAAGGGAUCAAAUAAUCCCUCAACCAAAAUCUCCGAGGUGACUCAGAAAAAGGUAAGUGGUAUGAGUAGCCAUGGGCCACCAAGGAACUAUUGUGGAGCAUUGAAAAUGAAUUUUAAAGACAUGUGCUAAAGGGACAAAAUUGAGGGUCUACAACGUCCUUGAGUCUUAAGACCACCCUGGGCCAUGACAUCACACAUUGUGUUUGAUAGCUCUUAUGUGAGCGAUACUUGGGAUUGAUUCGAGAGCAUUCUGAUUGUGAUGGACCGGGAGUUAUGGUAUGACCUUACACUGGGGCAUAGCCAUCUCAGAGAGUUUUUAUCGGAUGACCAUUAUGUCGAGGCAUACUCUUCUUAGUCGAUGACGGAUUUUUGAGCCACGUCCAUUCCUCGGAGGAUAUCAGAUGUCCUUUUUCACAUUGGAGCAUGAGACAUGAUUAGCGCAUUUCAUCUAGAGUACUUUGCACAGGGGCAUACCCCUUUCGGUCGAUGAUGGUUUUUAGGCAUAGUUGUUCCUUGGAGGCGAUUAGAUUCAUUUCACAUUGGAGUACGGGAUAUGAUUGGUUGAUAUCUUUGAUAUUAUCGUAGGAGCAUAGCCUUCUCAUCAUUGUUGACAUAUUUUUGAGAUGAUUGGAUCAGGACACCGACACUUAUGAGAGCAUGCAGCCGAGUUUAGUUAUUUCAGGGUUUGCCCUAUACUGGGGCAUAACCCUUUCAUUGGCGGCUGAUCUUAGAGAUAUUAGUUCACAUUGAGACAUGCUAUUUCUUUGGAGGAGGUCAGAUACUCUCUUCACAUUACCCUGAUGACUUUGAGGAGCAGAGUUUCAUUUUGAUCAGAUGAUGUAUGAUUGGUUGUACUCCUCUCAUUGAUGUUUGAUUUGGGGAUGCUUACACUGGGGCAUAGCCCACUCAUUGAUGAUGAUUUUAUGAGAUGACAAUUUAUGCCAGGCACAUAUUUCCUAGAGUUUAUCUUGCACUGAGGACUUACCCAUUUUGAGAUGAUGCAUUCACACUGGGGCAUACCCACCUUGCUGAUUUUGACACUGAGACUCCACAUCCUGUUUAUGAUUACUGCUUUCGAGGGAUCAUAGAGUCAUUGACACCCUGGGUUCAAUUUUCUCGACGUACUUGGUCCGACUUGGGUACCCACUUUCCUUUGUUACACACCUAUACAUCCUACAUUGGACUCUAUUAUACCUGCACCCAUCCUAUCAGAGCCUUACAUCUUUUGAGCCUACAUAUUUCAUCAUCUUACCUGACUUUAUCCCUUUCUCUUGAUCAGAGGAAUAUGUAGACCAGUCUUGAGCUUUCUGGUUUAGUUUUCACAUGCCUUUGGACAUUAGGUUCAACAUCUUCCAUGAUGGUAGGGCUUAUUAGAUUGUUGAUGUAUUUGUGAUGAUGUACUCAUAUUGAUAAUUGAGACACUGUGUCUUGAUUUGCUUACAUUUCAGACCUAGAGUUUUGGUUAGCAUUUGUUUGAUCCAUUAUUUUGGUUUUACUUUGUCAGCAUAGUUUUGGUGACGUUUGGUCUUGUUUUAGCAUUUGUUCAUUGAGGCUCUGUAUAUGUUUUUUUCAUUGCAUCAUCAUUGGGCAUAUCCCAGAGUGUCUUUGUUUGGUGACAUUUUGUGUCUUAUGUUGGUUACUAUCUUACACUAGGGCAUCCCCCCCGUCCUUGAGUUCAUCACACCUUUUGUGUACUUCCUCACCGCUUGAUCUAUUUCUUGAUCUUUGUGAGUCAUCAUACUGGGGCAUACCCCCUUUAGCGCUUUUCCUACUAGGACAUUCCCCUCUCUUUGGGUUCAUUAUGUCUCGUGCUGAUUUCAUGGUUGUCAAACCCCUAUUGUCAUUUCGUUUAGGGCAUCCCCCUGCUGUCAUUUCGUUUAGGGUAUCCCCCUGCUGUCAUUUCGUUUAGGGCAUCCCCCUACUGUCAUUUCGUUUAGGGCAUCGCCCUACUGUCAUUUCGUUUAAGGCAUCCCCCUACUGUCAUUUUGUUUAGGCACAAGUAUGCUAACCAAAUCAGGAUUCUGAUCCAGGGUGUGACUGUGUACUUUCGUCGGUUGCUAAAGAUGAUGAGGACGAUUUCUAGGAAGAGGCUUAGUGGAACUAUCAAGCGUAGCUCCCAUUCAUUCCAAAGUUUCCACACACUUUCUAGCAAUAUCUGCAUUGCUCUCGCUCCUCUUCUCUGUGAAAAUAGAGCCAAAAAUAGAAUAAAAGAAUAAAUUUGUAAAAUAAAAUUCUUAAAUCAAAUCCAUACAAAAAAUUUCACUUUUAUUAAUUUACCAGUCGUAACUUCCCAACAAUUUAUAACUCAACAUAAAAGUUUAGCACUUAGUUUUUAAUCUUUUAUUAAAGACCAUCUAAAUGAGCUUCACUUUUCACUUAAAAUUAGAAAGUUAAGGCAUGUUUUUUUAUAUUUGUUUUAAAUUAAGGAAUAAAAAAUAGUUUUUUAGAAUUUAUUAAAAUAAGGGUGUUUGAAAAGUUGUUCCAAAAAAAAAAGAAAAAAACAAAAACAAAAACUUACUUAGAUAAGUUAUUUUUAAAAAUAAUUUUUCUAUUUUGAUUUUAUAAAAACAUUGUAAAUUUAAUUUAUAUAAUAUUAAUUUAAUUUAAGUUAAGUCUUAUUAAAAAUAAAAUUAGUUCUAUAAUUAUAAAUAAAUAAAAUAAAAUAAAUAGCUUUUAGUAAAAACAUGAAUAAUAAUAUUAUAAUAAAAGCAUAAAUUAUAUUUUUCUUAUAAAAGAAUAUACUAUUUUAGUAUGUGUUAAAAAAAAUGUCAUUAAUUUAUUUUUUGUUAAAAGUGUACAAUAAUAAUAAUUUAACGAUAAAUUAUUAAUAAUAUUUUAUUUAAAAUUGAACAAUAAUAAUAAUUUAAUAAUAAAUUGUUAAUAAUAUUUUAUUUAAAAUGAAUAUAGAAUGAAGUUUAACUUUUUUAACAUGUAAAUAAACCAAAAUUUAUAUUACAUGUAUACAUUUAGUACUAAAUUACAAACACAAUAUUCUAGAAUGCUUUGAUUUAAUAAGUUUUUUGAAUUACAAAUUAUUAUUAAAAAUUAAAAAAUUCAUCAAAAGAAUUUAAAAAUUAAUAAAUUUUAUGUAUAAAGUAUAGUUUGAUUUGAAAAUUAUUUAAUUAAUGAAAAAUUAUUAUAAAGUUAAAGAAAAUUCAUAAAAACACAUAUAAUUCAAAGGAAUAUUAUAUUCAAAUAUUUUCGAUAUCUAUAUUGGAUUGUGGAGAGAAAAACAAUGAUAUCAUUUUCAUUUUUUUUAAUUCUUCUAUAUUUUUAUUUUUAAAAGAAAACCAAAUGAAAACAACUUCUACUUAUUCACUAAAAACUAUUCUUUAUUUUACUUUGUUUUAAAAUAUGGAAAUAAAGAUAAUGGCCAUAAAAAUUUUGUAUGCAAUUUAAAUGAGAAAUAUUUUAUCAUAUAUUAGUAAAAUUAUCAUUAAAAAAGAUUGACUAUGACUAAGAUAAGUUGUUUUUUUGUUCUCUUAUUUUCAAGUAAAUUUAGAAUUUAUUUAAUGAAUUCUUACUAAAUAAAACAAAUCAAAUAUUAUAAAAUCACUUGGUUUGAUAAAAAAUGAAUUUAAAAUAUAUCGACAAAAUUCCAAAAUCAAAACCGAGAUUUAACCACAUGAUAUUGUACCUCAUCCAAUUCUCAAUAAAAUUAUAAUAAGAAAAUUGUAUUAUGAAUGAAUUUAUUACAAAAUUUCUAAUUUAGCUCCUUAUAAUACAAUAAAAUUAAAAGAAAUCAACUAUCAUCAAUUUUAAUGAAAUUUCUCUAAUUAAAACUCUGGAGUAUAAUUCAAAUGCAUCUAAAUGUCCACAAGAGUUAAUAAUUUUAAUUAAUUUUGAAAAAUCAAAUGUUAGGUGGUCAUGUUUUUCACCUUCCAAUAUUUGGAAUUGCUCGCUUAAACCGAGACGGACAUAUAAAAGGCAGACAUGAGUAGUAGCUCCCUACCUCGUUGGAGCUAUUGACCGUGUUGAAUCCAUCCACAAUGACCUAGCAGCAUAGCACAUCUUCACCCACACCUCACUCAUUGUCUGAGGGGGUGGUGUACGAGGACGAUCCCUGUUUGUCAACCAUAUCCCUCAUCGUUUUUAGAGUUUAAGUUCAAAAUAAUCCAUUGGUAGAAAAAAAUGGUAAGAAUAGUACCAAUCUCAAAAUAUUUGUCAAACUAAUCUUUUUGCAUCUACGUAAGCAUCUACAUGGAUUUUUUUUUAAGUGUGUAAAACCACCGUUGGUGACUGUGGUUUUAAAAGUUUCAUAAAUAUCCUUAAAACCACAGUCUAUGACUGUUGUGUUACAAUUUUCCUUAGAACCACUGUUAGUAACUGCGGUUUUAAAAUUAUUUAUAGUUCAUCCAUGUUUUAAUAGUAUUAUGAUUUUAAUAUUAUUUUAAAAAUAUUUUUUUAUCAUAAUAACCAUAAAACCAUCAUUAUUAAGGAGUAACCUAAAAUCAUAAUUAUUAAUAUAAUUUUUAUAUGAAAAUAUAAAAUUUUAAAAUAAUAUAAAUAAUUUAUUUAAUUAUUUUAAAAUUUAAAAAUAAUAUGAAAAAAUAAUUUUCUUUAAUUCAUAUGUGAUAAAAUUCAUAAAACAAAUAAAUAUUUUAUUUACCAUAAAUAUAUAAAUUUUUAUGGGAAUACAGACAAAAUUAUUUUCUCAAAAUUUCAAGGAAAAUAUGAAAAAAUAAAGAUACUAUAUAUAUAUAUAUAUAUAUAUAUAUAUAUAUAUAUAUAUAUAAUUUUAAAACAGUUGUAAAGAAAAAAUUUAUUAAGGAUAAUUUGUAAAAAAAAAAAGUAAUUUUAAACUGACAAUGAAAAAUUGUAAGAAAUUUUGAAAAUAUCCUUAAAAUCACUGUCAUAGACUGUGGUUUUACAAUUUUUUUUUUAAAACCACAUUUACUAAUUAUGGGGUUUCACAAAUAUCUUUAAGAGAAACUCAUGUAACCAUACAUCAACUAAAAAAAUAUGAGAUUUUAAAACUUUGCUUUUUUAUUUUUUAAUUUUAGUGUAAAUUAUGGAUGUAUCAAAAUUUCUUAACGAUGUACUAGGUUUUCUUAAAGUUCUUUUUGGAGUAGGAAAAAUUUCUUACAAUUUUCCAUAGUCAGUUUAAAAUUAUUUUUAUUUACAAAUUAUCCUUAAUAAAUUUUUUCUUUACGACUGUUUUAAAAUUAUAUAUAUAUAUAUAUAUAUAUAUAUAUAUAUAUAUAUAUAUAUAUAUAUUAUCUUUAUUUUUUCAUAUUUUUCUUAAAAUUUUGAGAAAAUAAUUUCGCCUGCAUUCCCAUAAAAAUUUAUAUAUUUAUGGUAAAUAAAAUAUUUAUUUGUUUUAUGAAUUUUAUCACAUAUGAAUUAAAGAAAAUUAUUUUUUAAUAUUAUUUUUAAAUUUUAAAAUAAUUAAAUAAAUUAUUUAUAUUAUUUUAAAAUUUUAUAUUUUCAUAUAAAAAUUAAUGCCAAUGAUUAUGAUUUUAGGUUAUUCCUUAAUAAAAGUGGCUUCAUGGUUAUUAUGGUAAAAAAAUAUUUUAAAAAUAAUAUUAAAAUCAUAAUAUCAUUAAAACAUAGAUGGAUUAAAAAUAAUUUCUGAAACUUGUAAAACCACAAUUAGUUUUAAGGAAAAUUGUAAAAUCACAGUUACAAAUUGUGAUUUUAAAGAUAUUUUUAAAACCACAAUCAUAAAGGUGGUUUUACACACUUAAAAAAAAAAAAUUCAUGUAGAUGCUUACGUAGAUACAAAAUUAUUAUUAUUUUUUUUUUUCUAUCGAUGGACUAUACUGUUUGUUUUCUCCAUCGAUGCCUCAAUCCCCCGUAUUCGCUUUUGUGGUCCGUACGAUGAAGUUCCCCUUGACGGGAAAGAUUCCAUGGUCGGGAAAGAUUCCGUGGUACUAUUUUCGGAACAUUUUCACCUUCCAAUAUUUGGAAUUGCUCACUUAAACCGAGGUGGGACAUAAGAAGGCAGACAUGAGUGAGUAGCUCGCCUCCUCGCCGAAGCUGCUGACCGUGUUGAAUCCAUCCACAAUGACUGGCAGCAUAGCACAACAUCUCCACCCACACCUCACUCACCAUCUUCCAUUUCUCUCCCAUCUCCAUUUCCAGUGAUUUCAACGUUUUGGCAAGCCUACAUGCCUCGAAUAACACCGACUUGCUUUUAUCUCCUUUCACCAUUUUGGGAUCCAGGUCAACUUCAAGCAGCAAUCUGCAAGCUUCAUUUCUGUUAGAUAUGGACUCCCUUCUUUGCUGGAAGAAUCUUUUAGUCGCUGAACAAGUGUCGCGGAACCUGAACUCCCCUAUCCCUUUUGGCAGCAUAAAUGGACACGUGACUAGUAGAUACAACAUAUACUCAGACAAGCAUUUGCUUAUUUCACGUCUUGACUUGAGAUUGGUAUCUGGGGAUUUGUCCACAUCACAAGUGUAAUAGAGAUCUGUAGCAAUAUGCCAAAGGAGGAGGCUGUGAUCAAAUUCUACAUCAACUACACUCCAACUAAGUUUAACAAAAGACUUAUUUUUUCUGGUCACAUAACCACCUCUACGUUUGAGUAGCGACUUGAGAUCCCUGUCAUCCUUUGUCAUCUCUACGAGGUAUUGGAAGAUGGGUUCCUUCAUGUCAUCGGCCUUCUCCCAAGUCAUGUACCAGUACCUCUCCAAGAAUCUGUUCAUGUCAAAGAACCUGGGAACCUGAUUGAACUUAGUGUUGUCUCUGAGGCAAGAAUUAAUUAAGUUGUUCUGUGCCAUGCGUCCAGACCAUCUCUUGUCACUGGUUAAAACUGAUCGAAAAGGGGUGAUGGCCCGGCAAAUGGAAUCAGUGAGGGAGUUCUUCUUACUGCUCAACCAGACGAUGCUCCAGUCAGACAAAAUCAGCAUAAUGAUAGCAUAAAUCUCUAGAAAAAUAGCUCCAAAGAGUAACGCGUAAGUAAUGUUGAUGUCAAUGUUUGAGAACUCAUGCCUAUCGAUGAAGAAGUAGAAGGCCGCUAAGGUGGAAAUAGUGGACAAGAAGCUGGCAGUGCGGAGAAGAAUGCCUAGUAGAGAAUAAACCACUGUUGCCUUGGUGUAGAGCACAUCAUACAUAAAACUAAGCUCCACCUCUACCACUUUGAAGGCAUCUUCGAAUGACAAUUCCUUGAUGAUGCGCAUAUUGGUUUUUUGGUCAUUCAUGCUGAGGAUGAGGUCUGCAUAUAGAUGCCUGAAUUGCUUCUUGAAUAAGAAGUAAGCUUUAUCAAUAUAUGUUCCAACCGGAAUAGUCAUGCCUUCAUCAAUAGAUCGACUGACUGCAAUUGCCCUCACUUCGCCUUUCUGUAAACAAGAAUAAUCAGGUCCAGGAUUAGGAACUGGAAGCAAAGAAUCUCUAAAGUGAUUCUUGCUUGCAGAUCUCAGAACCCAGGUCCUCUCUCCAUACUUGAUCAUUCCAACCACAAACAUUGGGAUGGAUAGAAAUGUGAGUGGAGUUCCUGCCCAUGACCUCAGAAACACGUAGAAAGCCACUCCAACUUGGACAACUAGUCCUAGCAAGUGCCUUAACCACAACUCAUUAUAUUCUGAGGAGUAAGCCGAUAUAGUGUCCGGACCACCAAGGUGCAAGAGAAGGAAUGGCGCCCAAAAUGCCAUGAGGGUAUAGUUUGGAUCCAGAAGUUUCCCUUCCGAAUCUCCUUGGCUGUUGGAGAGGAUACCCAGGGAUACUGUCGCCACCCAGUCUGCGGACAAGUAUGCCGACCAAAUCAGGAUUCUGAUCCAAGGUGUGGCUGUGUGCUUUCGUCGAUUGCUAAAGAUGAUUAGGAAGAUUUGUAGGAAAAGGCUUAGUAGAACCAUGAAGCGUAGCUCCCAUUCAUUCCAAAGUUUCCGCACACUUUCUGAGAAUAUCUGCAUUGCUCUCGCGCCUGUUCUCUGUAAAAAGAUCCAACAGAAAACAACUAAACAUUCAAAAAUAUUAGAGCCUAAAAUGAAGAAUGAAAGAAUAAAUUUGUAAAAUAAAACUCUUAAAUUCAUACCAAUCAUUUUUCACUUUUAUUCAUUUGCCACUUGUAACUUUCCAACAUUUAUAACUCAGCAUUAAAAUUUAGCACUUAAUUUUUAAUCUUCAGUUUUAUUAAACACCUUAUGAAUAGCUUCAAUUUUCACUUAAAAUUAGGAAGAUAAGUUGUUUCAACAUUUUUUUAUACUUUUUUUUUAGAAACUAUUUUUAAAUUAAAAAAUAAAAUAUAAUUUUAAUAAAUUUUAUUAAAAGAAAUAAGAGUUUUUAACAAGUUGUUUUUUAAAAAACAAAAACUUGUUUCCAUAAAUUAUAUUAAAAAAUGGUUUUUAUUAAAUUAAUUAGUUAAAAUGGAUAAAAUAAUAUUUUUGAUAUGAAAGUCCUUUUACUAUUUCAAAUAGUUAGAUUUCAAAAUUUGGGUUUCAAAUAAUUCUUUUAAUCAAAUAAUCCUUUUCUGUUUUGAUAUUGUAAAAACAUUGUAAAUUUAAUUUAUAUAAUAUUAAUUAAAUUUAAUUCAAAUCUUAUUAAAAAUAAAAUUAGUUUUUUAAUUACAAAUAAAUUAAAAAAUUCAUAGGUUUUUGUAAAACAUGAAUAAUAAUAUUAUAAUAAAAUCAUAAAUUAUAAUUUUUUAUUUAAAAAAUCACUAUUUCAAUAUGUAUUAAAAAAUAUGGAUAUUAACAUGUUUAUAAAAGGGUCAUUAAUUUCUUUUUUGUUAAAAGUGAAUAAUAAUAAUAUUGUAUUUAAAAUGAAUAUAAAAUAAAAUUUAGCUUUUUUAACAUGUAAAUGAACCAAAACUUUUCAUUACACACACACUCGUUUAGAAUGUUUGGAUUAAAUAUAUAACUAAUUAAUUCAAUUUUUUGAAUUUAAAAUUAUUCUCAAAAAUUAAAAGGUUCAUCAAAAAUUUAAAUUAUUAAUUAUGUGUUACUUAAUUUAGAAUCUAGUUAUGUAAUUAAAAAAAUUAAAAAAUUAUAAUUGUGUAUAAAAGAGAAAUAGUGAAGUCAUAAUUCUAUUUUUUGAGUUUCAAUUAUAUAUUAACUCUUUAAAUUAAUUUAUCAAAUAUCAUCUUAUAUUUAGCAUUGAAACUUCAAUUAUAUUGUUCCCUAAAAUAAAAAUAAAAGUAUUAUGUCUAGUAACUACACAUGAACUUACAAGAAAUACUUGAAUAAAGGGCUGGUUUUGGCUCUCCUACGACUCCUUUUUGUGACUCACAAUUGGGAGUCCUUUGUGUGCGUAUUUAUUGGGGAAAAUAGAGUUUCCCUUGAAUCUGAGGAAAGGAUGCGGUGCAGGAGUUGUUGGUCACAGUACGCAUACUUUAAGGGCAUCACCCGCAAAAUGACAUUAUCUUUACUUCAUUAUAAUGCAAAUAUAACUCUUUUCCUUUCAUUUAUUCCCAAUUUUGCUAUGUGCAGAAUCAUCUGAUCACUGGGGUGUACUCAUAGUCACAUUAAUAAAUGUAAGGGAGAAGCCCAGAGUGUAGGACUUGGUCACAAGUCGAGAAACACAUACUAAUUUCGCCUUUGAUUUUGUGGAACAGUGUCAUGGCUGCAAUUUUGACCGGAUGAUUACUAACCCAAAUUCAAACCGAACUAAAAAGCAAUUGAUCAAAAUCUAACCCAACGUAACUUCUACCCCAAAUUUUUCAAUCAAAACCUAAACUAACCUCAUUUCUCUAAACCCCGAUUGAGUUCAAGGCAGUCAAGUUUUGUUUCAGAUUAAUUAAGUUACAUAAUUCAAAAUCCUUUUAUAAUACAUAUAACAAAAUUUUUAUAUAUUUAUAUGAAAAUUUAAAUAAUAAAAUAAGACAAAAUUUAGAUAUAGCAAAAAUGUAAAAACAAAAUUGUAUAUAUUUUUAUAAAAAGAAAUGAAGAUAUAUAUUAUAUAAUAUUAAUUUAACAUUUUUUCACAAAAAUAUAAAAAAAUGAAUAUUAUUGUACAAGAUAAUAUAUAUUAUAAAUAUUAAGAAACAUUAAACUGAAUUCAAAUUAGGUUUAUUCAAACCUGAGGAAAAUAUAAUGUUCUUUUGAAUUAUAUAAUUCAAAAUUUAUUUAUAAUAUUUUUUUAAUAAAAUUUUUAUAUAUUUAUAUGAGAAAUUAAAUACUAAAUAAAAAAAAAUAUAUGUAACAACAAAAAGUAAAAAUAAAUUUACAUUUAAAAAAAAUGAACAUGUUUAUUAUAUAAUAUUAACUUGAUAUUUUUUUAAAAAAAUCUAAAAAAAAUGAAUAUUUUUAUAUAAAAUAAUAUACAUUAUAAAUAUUACAGAAACGUUCAAAUUAGGUUUUUGUUGCCCAAACCCUAAUCUUAACCUAUGCACAAACCAAAUUGAAUUUGAUUUGAAAACUUUAACUCAAGCUCAAUCCCAAUAAUAAAAAUGAUUAUCUAAACCCGCCAAACAUUAUAUCAAGUUUAGAUUGAGUCGAGCUGACCCGCCCCAAAUUGCACCCUAAGCACUAUCCAAUGAAUAAUGAACUUGUGCAUUCACUUGAAAAGUUCCCUAUCAUAAGUGACAGAACAGUACUAUAUUCACUGAGUAUGGCUUCUGCUUUCUUUUUCUUUUUCUUUUUCUUUUUCCUUUUUCACACCUCACUUGUUAAUUUUCUUGUUUUUCAGAUCCUCCUGUGCCACAUUUUACCUUCUAACCAUUAUUUCUUAACUACGAAAAAACUCACAAGACUAGACAGAAGAUUAGCACAGAAAGAUGCAGCAGAUUCUCCAUCGCUUGCUCCUCUUUUUCUCCUUACACUCAACUCAUGUGUCAUUGACCAACUCAAAGAUCAAAGGGCAAUAAUAAUUUGUUUAAAAAUUAUUAUCACAUAAUUUUAUGUUAAAAAACGAUAUUGUAAAAAUGUAUAUUUUUUAAUUGAUGGAUAAUUAUGAUAUUUUUUUUAAAAAAAUUCUGUUAUGGUAUUAUUGUCUUGAUCAUUACCUUGUUCAUGGAAGCUAAUAUACAAAUGUCGGUAUCUUAAGUUUGCAACAUAAUAUCUUUAGAUCUUUGAAAAUAAUGUCUCAAAUCCUUGGGAUUGUAAGCUACAUAAGGGGAUUAGAGUGCUCAAAAGCCUCAGAAUGGUAAUCCUGAUUAUAAUGCCAUGUUAAAUGUUAUAAAAUGGUGAGACUAUGAUUGCUGAGGUGGUGGUUCACUGUGUGAAAGGCGGAGCGUAGUGGUGACUGGUGAGAUGGUAUGGUGGCCGACCAAAAAAAGAGAGGAAGAAGAUUUGCUGGGAACAAGGAAAGCACCCCAAAUCAGUUUUUCUUUUUCUUUUGACACUUUUUCUUUGUCCAGUUGGAAUUUUCUUUAGCUAGAUGGAGUGCUGAUCAGGUAAAUUUAGAACUCAAGCAUAGUAGGAAUAACCCAACCUAGAGUUUGGAUUAGGUCUUGGUGGACAAGAGACUGAUCACUCCAAAUCAAUUUCUCUUUCUUUCUUCUUUUAUCAGUUUUUUGAGCAUCACCCAGAAUUCUUUAUUCACAGGAACAUAUUUACAAGAUUAAACAGAAGAUUAGCACACAGAAAUACAGAAGAAGAUUGUGGUGAAAUGAUGUAGUACAGCAAGAGAGUUGACAGUGGCAGAGUGGAGAAUAAAAAAGAUCGAUCAGUCCUUGGUGUGACUACCCUAUAUAUAUACUAUAUUAAGAAUCAAACAGUCAAUAUAUAUAGUUUGGCAUCGUCCAGUUAAUAUAUUUUUAGACAUCUUCUCAGAUGAUUCUGAUCAAUGAUUCAAUCUCUUCUUGUGUCAAUUCCUUUUGGUAGUUGUUCUGAUUCAAGAAAAUCACAGUUAAGUACACGAUCAUGUGAUCCAUCCAACACCUUCAAUUUGGCCAAUUUUGGUUAAUUUCAUAGUUCUAAGGUCCUAGAAAAUCAUGCCAGACAGCCAGGACCAUUUUACAUGUUUUUUUUUUUACUUUGUUACUGUUGGGAUGCAUUUGGUUUGUGGGAAUCAAAAUGAAAAUAUGAUGAGAAUGAAGGUGAAUCAUAAUGUUACAUAGAAGAGAUGAAUCAAAAUACUAGUGAGAGCGAGAUUUGAUUUCUAUACUAAUGAAUUUUUUAUUCCUAUUUCCUUUCUAAAAAAAUAAUUCAAAUGAAGAAAUAAGUCGGAAUGAAACUAAUUUCCCAUUCUCCUUAUCUAUUCUAGGUUCUAAACCUAAUCUUAAGGUUAUUCUUAUGCAUUUUUCAUCCAUGUACUUCUGCAAUUUUGAGGAAUUCAAACUAUUUCCAAAGGACGAGAUAGAAAACAAUGUGCUUAAAGGAAAACAAAAGGAAGAUGUCAAAUGGUAUGUUUGGAAGUUAUUUUAAUACCUAUUUUUUUAUUUUUAAGAAAAAAAUAGGAAAACAUGUUUGACAAUCCAAAGAAAAAAAAAUCAGUUUUUAAAGAUAUAAAAUAAGGUUUUUUCUUAGAAUGAAUAUUUUAGUCGUUUAAUUGCAAUUAUUUUUUAAAAAUUGUUUUAAAAAAUAAUUACAUAAAUAUAGAGAAAAAUUGAAAAUAAAGUAUCAAAUAUAAAAACUAUAUUUGAAAAAUAUAUAAAAAAAUGUUUAAAACAGUUUAAGUUUCCAAAUAAACUUUUAUUUUAUAAAAUAUUGAAGAAAUUAUUUCAAAAUUAGUUUUCAAAAACCAUUUCUUAGAAUUGUUUUAAGAAAUAUACUUUCCAAAUAGAGUCAAGGCUUUUUAAUUUAGUAUAAGGAAAAAGUGUGUUUUGGUACAAAAGUAUUAAAAAAAUGGAAAAUAAAAACCUCCAAAAAUAAUUCAAAUUUAAGGCAUCAAAAUCGAAAAUCUUGAUGUUAGAGGAUGAUAUUAUAAAUAUAUAAUUUAUAUUUUAUGAAAAUUAAAAAUAAUUAUAAAAAUAUAUAAAUAAUUAAUAUAUUAAUAAUAUUUGAUAAAUUGGUGAUGACUUCUCAACCGACAAAAAACUCAUUAAUUAUCAUCUUAUUAUUUUGAGUUUCCAUCAUUACCUUCAUCAAGAAGGUCUUUUAUUCUCUUCUUAUUCCUUUGAAAAUAAAGCAAGAUAUUUUAUUUUCCUCUCGUUCCUUUUUUUUUUCUCGGUUAUUUUAUGUAUUUUCUGUUUCCCCCCACCUGUAUGCAUUCUCUAUUUUCUCUUUUUCAUUCCCUCAUUCUAAUUAUUUGCUUUCCUUUCUCUGUUUUCCUUUCAGUCUAAUUAUUUCACUCAUUCUAACAAUUGGCUUUUCCAAGCGAAGAGGGAUCUAGGUAAAAGAAAUAUCAUACAUGAGAGGAAGGCUUUCCGAGACCAAUCUGACCAACUAACAAGGCUGAAUCCAAAGAAUCGACUAACAGUGUUCUGUGCAUCAUCUACCGAAUCAAGGUUGCUCUACGAUCUUAGUGGCUGUAGAUAAGGUGGAAUCGCCCACCGAAACAGAGAAUCUGGUUCUUUCUGCCGAGCCACAGGCCAAGUCCUCUGUUUCAAACACAUCCGUAUCGGAACCGAAUGAAGUAGGCACCGGAACAGUACAUCCUGCAGUUCUUUCCUCUUGACCUCUUUGUUUCUUCCAAAAGCUCUCAACAGGCCUUGAUCCAGCAGCUGAUCUACCACCAGCCUAAACAUACCAUCCAAAAGCAUUUGCAUCCGUUUUUUUUCAGGACCAACUGGACCACAACGUUCAGUUUCUCUUCUCGAACCAGCAAAUCCUGGUCCCUUAAUAGACUUAUAAAUAUCCGAGCUUUAAGCUGCAAACUCUUACAUAGGAGCCAAUUGGAGAAGAGAAAGCUGAGUGGUUUUCCGCAGGAUCUUUUGCAGAAGUAGAGACGGUGUAUCGUUUUCAUAGCAGGCCUAGCUUUUCUCCGCUCACACGGUUCGCAGGUUGGAAAAGUCCCUUCGCAAGAGAGGAAAGCCAAAAAGAAGAGAUUGCUUUCCUCCUUCUCGAACUCUCGUGAUCUACGGCCACCCUUGGAAAGACUUUUUCCUAUGAUGGUGAUUCCUAAUAUGAACGAGACAGGGGGAACGACAAUUGCUGGCCUGGCCUACUCAUCGGGUUUGUGACAACAGUUUAAAAAAAUACUCUUGUUAAAAAUCUCCUACCUCCUCGCUCGUCGGUAUUAGGAAAAGGUCCAACGUGAUUGGCACACACAAAACAAGCCGUUCCUGAUCUUCGAUCACCCUGCCCUUCAUUCAAUAGAUCGCUUAGCUCUACUUAGUCGAUUCCCUGUGUUCAUGGCUUUGAAUUUUUGGAAAUGCUUUUAUUUUCGAUAAAGAUCUCGAUGACCGCUUAAUUCAUCUGUCCUUUCCCGCUUCUGGAUGAGAAGUUUUUUUUUUUAUUCCCUGAUCUACGAGCACCCUGAGAAAAGUGAUCUAUGAACCUUACAGGCUUUCGACUGAAAAGUGACCAAUGGAAUAGGCUUUAGAGUAGCUCUUUCCAAAUAGGUCGAGAAAUUAAAUUUUAAGGAGGUCUCUAGUUGGGAUUCACAAGUGUAAAUAGAAGUCAGGUGAAACAUAGGAAUUCCAGAGUAAGAAUAAUAGGCAGAAUAUCAGAUCAGUUCACCUUAAGACCUCAUCUUAAGCCUAUGUUCGCACGGUUAGAAAUAGAAUUUUAAGGAGAACAAAAGUCGGCAUUGUUUCAACCAGCCUAGACCUUGAUACAAUUUAAGCCGUUAAACGAACUCAACAUUCUCCGACUCAAUCCAUGCAAUCCAACCUCUCAUGAAUUUUAAACAAUUUCUCAGAAGAAUAAACAAAUAAAGCAUAAUUAAAAAGAAGAAGAAGAAAGAAGUCGGUUUGAAAGCAAACUAAGAAGGGAAAUGUACCAGAGUAUGACGAUGGUGGGUUGGUUGGAGCUGUUCACGAUGUUCCGCUCAUGAAGGUGGGAGUAGUGUACUGGUGAGAAGGUGGAUGGCCGGAGAUGGUGGCCAACGGCAGUGAGAAUGGUGACUUUGUGACCCUUGAAUGGGUUUGCAUUAGUAGUUUUAAACCAGAGAAAAGGCCAAAAAAGAAAAAGAAGAGAUAGAGAGAGAGAGUCGUCUCGUGGGGCGGCGGAAGCGUGUUUCUGUAGCAAUAAUUCGAAGAAAGUAGGUGGUCGACGGCAGUAGUACUAGUUUGUUGAGUCACUUUGAUUCCAAAAUUGAAAGUCCAUACCCACUUUGAUUUAAAAAUAAUAAUAUAAUAAUAAAAAUAAUAUCAAUAAUUCCUCCUUCACGUUUGUUGGAUUCAUCAAUGAAGUUUCUUGCAGUGGAGGCCAGCAGUGAUGCUUUCAGUUAUAUCACAGGGUGGCUUUAGCAGUGUAAAAAUAAACAGGUUUCACAUUUGAUAGCAUUCAAAUACUAAUGAAAUAAAACAUUUUAGUACUUAAUAUAUAUAAAGGCUGCAAUCCUCAAGCAACAAACAGGUUUUUGUAAUUGGAUGGAUGAAUUGAAUUAGAAAUACUAAGAAUCAUGAUUCAUUGGUUAGUGUAUUCGGGUCCAACUAUGGUCAAACAUAGUGAUGUGAUGUCAGGAUGACAUUAUAAAUAUAUAAUUUAUAUUUUAUUAAAAUAAAAAAUAAUUAUAAAUAUAUAAAUAAUUAAUAAUAUUUGAUUUAAAAAAAUAAUAUUAUUAAAUUAAAUCAUGAAAAAGAUAUAUAUAUAUAUAUCACUAUUUUCAAUUUUUAUGUGAUAAAACAUUUAUAAUUUUAAGUGUAAAGAUAUACUUAGGAUGAAAAUAUAUAUAUAUUUAUAGUACAAUCAAAUAUGAGAAAACUAUUUUUUAUUUUCAUUUUUUUUUUAUUUUCGUAAUAUUUUUUGAGAACCAAACAUAACCUUUAUAUAGAAGCCUUAAAAGAAGUGAAAUGAAUUUGAAAUAAUAUUUAACAAUAAUUUAUUAACUUUGAAUCAAAAUUUUAUUUUCUUUUCACUUUAUCUUUUUUAAUUUAUUUUAAAAUAUUAAAAAUAUAAAUUUAUUCAAAAUUUGCUAAAAUAUAAUAAUAAUAAUAAUAAUAAUAAAGUUCUAAUAUUUUAUAAACUAAAAUUAAUUUGACAAGAUAAGUUAUUAAUAUAUAUUUAAAUUAUUUAAAUAAAUUAAUGAUAAUAUAAAAAGUUAUUACCACAUAUUUGUAGUAAAAUUUUAGAAAUUAAAUUUCAAAUAAAAUAUUUUAUAUAAAUCAAUUUAUUUUUUUUUAUUUAAAAUGUAAAAAAACAUGUUUUAAUAAAAGUAUUUUUUAAAUUUUAAAAUAAUAAAAAGAUAUUUUAAACUAAUUUUUUUUUAUAAAAAUUUGAUAAAUAUUAUCUUUAAUUAUACUUAUGUAAAUUGCAAUUAUAAAAUAAUUUUAAUAUGUAUAUUUUUACUUAUUUUAUCAUUUUUUAAAAAGUUUUCUAAGUAUCUUCAUAAAUUUUGAAUCAUUUCUAUUUGAUCCAUAUUUUUGUCAAAAUACUCAUUGAUUUUUGUUAGAUAUUUUCGAUAUAUCCGCAAAAUCAAAAUACCAAUAUAUCCAUAUUUACUGAUAUUUCAAAUAUUACUUCUCAUUUAUUCAAUUAUGGAAACAUAUAAGACCACAAGUAAUCGGAAGAAGAUUAGAUUUAGGCGAAUUGAUGUAACAAUGGAGGCCAGUCAACAACAGUGGUGCUGUUGAAAUUAAUGGAUAUUUAGGGUUAUAGGUUUCAAAAAUUGUUUAGGCUUAAUUGAUUUUCCAAACCCUCUUUGGGAUAUUUAGGGUUUUAAAAGAGAAGUAAAAACAAUUAUUAUUACAUAACUUUAUGUUUAAGGAUGAUAUUUUCAAUUUUUCUUUUUAAGUUAUUGAUAGUUAUGAUAUUUAAUAUAUAUAUUUUUUUUUUGCUACGAUUAGAAAAUACACUAUUAUUGUCUUGGUCAUAACUAAAAGUGCUCAAUCUCUUUUGAGCUGUAUGAGAUUACCUUGUUCAUGGAAGCCAACAAUGAUGUCCAAAUAUAAAUGUUGGUAUCUUAGGUUUGCAAUAUAAUAUUGUUCUUUGAAAAUGAUUGUCCCAAGUCCUUGGGGAUUAUAAGGUACGUAAGGGGAUUGAUGUGCAGUAGAGCCUCAGGAUGUUAAGUCUCAAAAGUCGAAAUAAUGCAAAGUUGAAUGUAUAUAAAGGCUUUACCUCCCUACAUUAAUAAUCAAUUUGCUUUAAAAUGAGAUGACUAAACCCUUGAGCUUAGCAAGUGGUCUCAAGUUAUGGAUUCACGUCACCAAAACCUCAUGUUCUCAAAUUUUAAAUUUGCGAUAAUAACGCUAUAGCAUAAACACUAAGCCCCAAAAUAAGCUUCAGGCAAUCCUAGGAUGGAAGUACUAUAAAAUAAUAAAUUUAAAAUUUCAUAAUUAUUAAUUACUUUUGAAGCAUUUUCUCUUCUUUGAAUUCCAUCCAUAUGACCUACUACUUAAUUUUUCAAAAUUAAUUAUUAAUAAUAUAUAAUGAGAUUUUAAAAAUACAUAUGAAAAAAGUCAAUCUAGAUACAAAUUAUUAUUAUUUUUUUUAUAAUCAAGGAACAUUUCAUAGUUAAACUCUUAGGACUUUCAUGAAGACCCAAACUACCUCGUGGUGCUGACCAUUUCGUAAUAAUUAAUACUAGAUAAAUUUAGGGUAUCAUUAAUGAUAAGAUUCGAAUCUAAAACCACGUGUUACUUACCUGAACCACACUUCCUAGUGUUUGAUUGUAGGUACAAAUUAUUAUUAAUUAUAAAAAUUAAUAAUUAAAAUUAAAUUUAAAAUAUUAAAUUAUUGAUAUUCUAAUUUAGUUACCAUAAUAAAUUUUUAUUUAAAGAAUUUAUUUGCUGAUUAUAAAAAAAAAACUAAAAGUGUAAACGAUAAAAAGAACAAAUAUAUCACCCAUAAGAUGGGUAUAAACAAUAUUGAUUUUAAAAAACAAAGAUAAAUAAAAUAGUUAAAAAUAUAGCCACUUUAUAAAAUAUUUUAUACCUAAAAUAACCUUUACAAUAAAUUUUAUUUUUCUAUUAUAUCAAACAAAUAUUAAUAUUGAAUAUCAAUUUAUUAUUAAUUAAUUUAUUAUAAAAGAUAUAUGAAUAUGGAUUUAUUAUUAAAGAUAUGAGAUAAUAAGUAUUAAUAUUAUGUAAGCAAAUGUGUGAUUCAUAAUUAUUUAUUAUAAAAAAUAUAUAAAUAUAAGAAGAUUAAGUAUCAAUAUUAUGAAAAUAAAUUAAGUAAUAUAAAGAAUUAUUUAUUUUUAAAAAUAAUUGAAUAUAAUAAGAUGGUAAGUAUUAGUUUUAUGUAAAAUAUUGUAAAUUUAAAACGGAACUUAUAUUUUUUAACCCUUCAAUAUCUAUAGGAAAAUCAUUCAAAAUAUAUGAAUAUAAAUUAAUUACUAUUUUUUUUCAUUAUUAAAGAUAUAGGAAUAUGAGUUUAUUAAUAUAGAAAGUUGCUCAUUUACUAUAAACUUUUUUGUUUAAUUUUUUUUACUACAUUUUGUAAAAUAUUAAAAUAUAUAUAUAUAUAUAUAUAUAUAUAUAUAUAUAUAUUUUGCUGCCUCACAUGCAUGACACGUGUGACAGAUGAAUUCCUUGCAUGGCUGUAGGCAGAGAGGGUUAGACACCUAUGUCAAGUGUAAGUCAUAUAUCCCUUAUCAUAUAUGAAGGCAACUAGAAGUCUAUAAAAUGCACAAACUUCUAUCUCCUUUCACUUCCAUGGGUGGGAGAUAUGAUCUGAUAGCAGGCUUGAAAGCUAUGCAUUUUGUACUCAACCAAGCUUGAUUUUGUUUAGAUCAGUAUAGAUAAUAGAAGUGGUCAGUUGUAAUGUGCCUGAUGAGGAGAAUGCUCUGAUUGAACUCUUCCUCCAUGCUCCAACCAAGGAGAUCAUUCAUUUUUUCAGGCACAUGAUCACCUUGAUAUAGUGAUAUACAUGGAGAAGAUAGUGUACUUGUGCAGUUUCCUGGCAGCCUAAGAUUUCUGAGGCCUGUGAAUUUGGUCUAUCUAUAGAGUAUGGCAUAAUGUUUAUCAGCAAGCUUGAGUAUUACACCAAGCAGAAAGUAGUUUUUGAGUCUAGAUUGCCUUCAUUCUCCGAGGUUGAAAUGAAUACUUGAAAUGUUGAUUCGGUCUUGAAGUCCUUACCAAACUUUUGAAUAUCUCUAGCCCUUACUUCCUUCAAAGCUUAGAGAACCAUUCUACCAUAUUUAGCUACUUUCAGACAUCUUUGUAUUGCUAUUCUGAGUAGCAGCCAACCGUAUUGUCUAAAAAAUAUCACAUGGCCUGUCACUUGGCAAAUACUACUAGACGCAUUGUAGUUUGGGCAGGAAAGUCAGUAUGCAUUUCCCACCUUACCUUAGUCUUGUGGAAGAGAAGGAUUUCCACACUGGAGACCUUUGUUUAUUUGUGUUGACUCCUCCUAGAAAAAGAACUGAUGGUCCCAUCCUGCACUGUGGAUUCUCAAAGGAUAGUACUAAAAGAAGAUGAGGGCAGCCAUCAUCUUUGAACACUACAUAUUGAGACAAAAAAAGGUAUCAUUUUUUGGGGGAAAAAAAGGGUUGUGAUCCCCACCCCACCUAACCUUGGAAAUUUCAAGGAGACUGCAAAAUGGCUUUUCAAAAGACUCAGAACAUUUCCAAAGCGAAGUCCAUAUUAUUAUUAUUAUUAUUUUGUGCUAAUUCCAUGUACAAGACUCAUAAAUUUUAGUGUGUUGCAUAGACUUAAGAGUUGUGCUUUCUUCAAUCAAAUGGAUCUCCCUCAUCUCACUCAGUAGAGCACAUAGGCCUCAUAUUUGGCUUGCAACUGUGGCUUUUGCCUUCAUCACACGGUGGAGUGGAGGCUUUCAGUUCUAUCACACGGUGCCUUUAGCAGUGUCAAAAUAAACAGGUUUCACAUUUGAUAGCAUUCAAAUACUAAUGAAAUAAAACAUUUUAGUACUUGAUAUAUAUAUAAAGGCUGCAAUCCUAGCAACAAACAGGUUUUUAUAAUUGGAUGGGUGAAUUGAAUUAGAAAUACUAAGGAUCAUGAUUCAUUGGUUAGUGUAUUCGGGUUCAACUAUGGUCGAUCAUCGUGAUGUGAUGUUAGGAUGACAUUAUAAAUAUAUCAUUUAUAUUUUACUAAAAUAAAAAAUAAUUAUAAAUAAUUAAAAAUAUAUAAAUAAUUAAUAUAUUAAUAAUAUUUGAUUUUCUUAAAAACUUUAAUAUUAUUAAAUUAAAUCGUGAAAAAGAUAAAUAUAGAUAUAUCAAUAUUUUCAAUUUUUAUGUGAUAAAACAUUUAUAAUUUUAAGUGUAAAGUUACACUUAGGAUGAAAAAAUAUAUAUUUAUAGUACAAUCAAAUAUGAGAAAACUAUUUUUUUCUUUCCUUAAUAUUUUCUGAGAACUAAACAUAACUUUUAUAUACAAGCGAAGUGAAAUGAAUUUGAAGUAAUAUUUAACAAUAAUUUAUUAACUUUGAAUCAAAAUUUUAUUUUCUCUUCACUUUAUUUUUUUAAUUUAUUUUAAAAUAUUAAAAAUAUAAAUUUAUUCAAAAUUUGCUAAAAUAUAAUAAUAAUAAUAAUAAUAAUGAAGUUCUAAUAUUUUAUAAAUUAAAAUUAAUUUGACAAGAUAAGUUAUUAAUAUAUAUUUCAAUUAUUUAAAUAAAUUAAUGUUAAUAUAAAAAGUUAUUACCACAUCUUUGUAACAAAAUUUUAGAAAUUAAAUUUCAAAUAAAAUAUUUUAUAUAAAUCAAUUUAUUUAUUUUAUUUAAAAUGUAAAAAAACAUGUUUUAAUAAAAGUAUUUUUAAAAUUUUAAAAUAAAUAAAUAAAAAUAUAUUUUAACCUAAUUUUUUUUUAUAAAAAUUUGAUAAAUAUGAUCUUUAAUCAUAUUUAUGUAAACCGCACUUAUAAAAUAAUUUUAAUAUGUAUAUUCUUACUUAUUUUAUCAUUUUUAAAAAAAGUUUUCUGAGUAUCUUCAUGAAUUUUGAAUCAUUUCUAUUUGAUCCAUAUUUUUGUCAAAAUAUUUAUCGAUAUUUGUUAGAUAUUUUCGAUAUAUCCGUAAAAUUCAAAUACCAAUAUAUCCAUAUUUACUGAUAUUUUAAAUAUUACUUCUCAUUUAUUCAACUAUGAAAACAUAUAAGAGUACAAGUAAUCAGAAGAAGUUUAGAUUUAGGCGAAUUGGUGUAACAAUGAAGGCCAGUCAACAACAGUGGUGCUGCUGAAAUUAAUGGAUAUUUAGGGUUAUAGGUUUCAAAAAUUGUUUAGGCUUAAUUGAUUUUCCAAACCCUCUUUGGGAUAUUUAGGGUUUUAAAAGAGAAGUAAAAACAAUUAUUAUUAGAUAACUUUAUGUUUAAGGAUGAUAUUUUCUAUUUUUCUUUUUAAGUUAUUCAUAAUUAUGAUAUUUAAUUGAAAUUUUUUUGCUACUAUUAGAAAAUACAUUAUUAUUGUCUUGGUCAUAACUAAAAGUGCUCAAUCUCUUUUGAGCUAUUGGAGAUUACCCUGUUCAUGGAAGCCAACAAUGAUGUCCAAAUAUAAAUGUCAAUAUCUUAAGUUUGCAAUAUAAUAUUGUUCUUUGAAAAUGAUUAUCCCAAGUCCUUGGGGAUUAUAAGGUACGUAAGGGGAUUGAUGUGCAUUAGAGCCUCAGGAUGUUAAGUCUCAAAAGUCGAAAUAAUGCAAAGUUGAAUGUAUAUAAAGGCUUUACCUCCCUACAUUAAUAAUCAAUUUGCUUUAAAAUGAGAUGACUAAACCCUUGAGCUUAGCAAGUGGUCUCAAGUUGUGGUUCACGACACCAGAACCUCAUGUUCUCAAAUUUAAAAUUUGUGAUAAUAGUGCUCAUUGGAUUAAUAUGAUAGCAUAAACACUAAGCCCCAAAAUAAGCUCCAAGAUAAGGGUGUUGCACCUAGUUUUCAAUCCUAGGAUGGAAGUACUAUAAAGCGCUAGCUAGAUAGUAAACUCCAAGUUUUCAACAUUAGGAUGGAUGUGAUAUAAUUCUCAAAGAUGGUUAACUCAACAACCUCAAUGUAAGUUGUUUCAGGUUUUCAUCUCUAUGAUGGGUGUGUAGUAAAGUCUCAAGAUGGGUGUGUUCCAAGCUUUUUUAAGUAAGCUUUGGAAAGUCAUCAUGUCCUCCUCAGAACAAUAAGUGUCGAGAUAUUAGUAUUAUAAAGCCUUGGGAUGGUCGCUUGGCCUAGAAUGGUUAAUCUGUGAGAUGGGUGCACUAUAAAACCUUAGAAUAGGUUUAUUGUAAGCCUUUGGGGAUGUUAUUGCUUAUAGCCAAUUGACUUGGGAAAGUGUGUUGUGAACCUUAAUAUAGUAAUAUAAGGGUUCGUGUGUUAUUGAUUUUAGGAAGUUUUUUUAAUGUAAAAAGUAUUUAAAAUAAAAAUAUUAGGUGUUUGUCAAAAUUUAGGAAACAUUUCUAACAACCUAAAAAUCAUUUAUAAUAUUAAAAAAUCACUUCAAAUAAAACACUUUCAAAUAAAACACUCUCACUAAAAAACUUCAAGUAGAAAUAUUGUCAAACACAUUUUAAAACAUUGGAAUGGAUGCGGUGAAGACAACCUUUGAGAUAAGUGUGUUUAAGCAUUAGUAUGGUAAAUCCUAGAUUAAAGUAAUAUCAAAUAUCAUAAAAAAUUUGUCUUCUUUUAUUGAUGCUUAAUCGAUGUAUUCAACUAUCAUGAUGAAAAUCUUAAAACCGACAAUAAAAUAGGUCUUGAAUGAGAAGUAAGCAUUAUGUACACAUUUUGGAUUAGGAAUAGUUGUACGUGUUUCAUUUACGAAGACUGUAGAAAUGCUUUUUUGUGAUUUUUUUUUUGAAGUACCCUGCCUUUAAAAUCUUUAAUUAUUGAAUUUUUUUAAAUCAAUGUCUAUAAUUGUAUUUUAACUACCUAGCUACAAUCUAAAAAUUAAAUCGAGGUAUUAACUCCACUAAAUAAUAGAAUGACAAUAGCUUGAAUAAAAAUUAAUUAAACGUGAUAAAACUAUAGACUAAGUGGACAUUGAUGGUUUUGGACAAUGUAAAACCAGUGUGCACCCAAGACUCGAAGAUAUCGAAUUGAAUCAAAAGAAAAGUUCAGGUAUUCUCUUGAAAAGUUUAGGUAUUUUGUAUAUUGUAUUGCAUUAUGCUUGAUUGGUUCAGGAAUGCAUUAAGAAAAAUUACUUUUUCAUAUAAGGAUAAUUUCAUUUAUCUCUCUUAAAGCUUUGACUAAAUAUAUAUAACUUUUAUUGAUUUGAAAUUUCAUCAAAUAUCUUUCAUAUAUAUUUAUAUUUAUUAUUUUCAUUCACCUCUCAUUUCAUCUAAAAUAAGAAAGGUGUUGGGUGAAAUUUCAAACAAAUGGAGGUUAAGUGUAUUUGAUCAAAUAUUGAGGAGAGAUGAGUGAAAUUAAUCUUUUAUGUUUGGUUUUAUCAUUAAAAAAAUAAAUAUAUAUAUAUAAUUAAAAUUAAUUAAACAUAAAAGUAUGUUUAAUGUGGAAUAAAGAGGUAAAGAGAAUAAACGAGAAGUAUAUUAUACAUAUCAUACAACUUUGUAGAGAGAGAUGUAUGAAUUGGCACCUAAAAAAUAGUACUUUGUAUCUAUCUUGCAAAUGUUUUAUAAGUAUCCUAUAUGCAAUAUAAUUCGUUGAGUCAAAUACAAAAACAUAUGAGUAUUUGAAAUAUUAAGGAUGGCCAAGGAUUGGUUUUACUUCAUCUAAUAUUUGGAAUUGCUCACUUAAACCAAGAUGUGCAAUAAGAAGACAGACAUGAGUGAGCAAGCUCUCCACCUCGCCUAAGCUGAUGGUCGUGUUGAACCCAUUCACAAUGAGUAGCCGCAUAGAAUAGCCUCUCCGUCCAUAUAUGACUUAUUAUAACCCAUUUCUCUUCUGUCCCCGCCAUUUCCUCUAAUUCUAAUAUUUUGGCAGGCUUACAUGCCUUGAAUAAUACAGACUUGCUUUUAUCUCCUUUCACAUCUCUAGGUAGUGGUUGCGUAUCAACUUCAAGCAAUGAUGUGCAAGCUUCAUCUCUAUUAGAUAUGGCCUCCCUUUUUUUGUUGAGAAGCUUUUAUCUCCCUUUUUGGUAGGCCACUUAUUAAACCAAAUUUCAUGAGAAGCUUGACAUUACCAAAAUAAAAAUCAAAAUCAAAAUUUCCCAUAAAGUAAUGUACGAAAUCCAUGGACCAAAGAUCUUUUGAAAAGAUUAUAUUAGAAACUAUAGCUUAAAUUCUAUAAAAAUAGGGAGAAAAAAAAAACAAAAAAAUACAAUUUAAGCCAUUAAACGAAAUCAAUAUUCUCUGAACCAAUCCAUGCAAUCCAAAAUCUUAUUAAUUUUGAACAAUUUCUCGGAAUAAAAAACAAAUAAUAAUUAUAAACUAACAAAAGAAGAAGAAGAAGAAGAAGAAAGAAAUCGGUUUGGGAGCAAAAUAAGAAGGGAAAUAUACCGGAAUAUGACGGUGGGGGCUUGAUUGGAGCUGUUCACGGUGUUCAGCUCAUGAAGCUGGAAGUAGUGUACUGGUAAAAAGAUGGAUGGCCGGAGAUGGUGGCGGACGCCAGUGAGAAUGGUGACUUUGUGACUCUUGAAUGGUUUGCAGUAGUAGUUUUAAACCAGAGAAAAAGCCAGAAAAGAAAAAGAAAAAGAAAAAAGAAGAAGAGACAGAGGAGCAAGACUGAGAGAAUUGUCUUGUGGGCCGGCCGGAGUGUGUGGCUAUAGCAAUAAUUGAAAGAAAGGAAUCCAUCCCUUUUUCACUUUCCUUUCAAUCUCUUUUUUGUCGCCAUUAAUCAAUUUUCUGUCAAUAAUUGGCAACAGUGCAUGUUGAAGUUAGGGGAUGGUUUUUUGGAAGAAACGAUGGAGAGCAUAUUGAAGUUGGCGGGGCAGAUGUGAAUUUGGAAGAUGUGAUGUUGGUAUUAAGGUUUUUUGCAAAUUUAAACUAUGUGAAUGUAAGAGACAAUUAUAUGUAAGUAUAUAAUAAACAAUAUAAAGACAAUUGCAUAUAAAUUAAAAGAGUAGAGAAGAGAAAAUGCAAACACAAGAUUUUAUAGUGGUUUGGCGCAACCCGACCUACAUCCACUCUCCUCUAUCUUCAAGCCCAAGCUUGAGCUUCCACUAAUUUAAGGCUUCCAAACCAAGCCUUCAAGCAAUACAAUUGGAUUAUGGUUCAAAUUCACCCUCUUGGACUUUUGGCUCCAAGCACCCUUUACACUUCUCAAGAGAUAUCCCACUCUUGAACAACCCCUCAAGUGAUACCACAUACUUGAGAAACUUCCUCUCAAAGAUUUACAAAUAAAUGAUCUCACAAAAUUCUAGUACAAAAACUUUAAGCUCAAAUGAUACAAGAAAACUAAGAUUGAAAGGUGCACUAAAGAUAUAAAAGUUUUAGAACAAUGGUGCACUCAAAAACACUAUUACAAGGCUCAAAUAUAUUCAAGAAAUGUUUGGGAAGGUUAAACUCUUUUAAACAAUGAAGAUUGGAGCAUUUUUAUAGAAGAAAAAAAAUCAAACUAGCCAUUGGGGGUUCGAUCGAUUGACUAACUAUUAUCAUUUAAUGCUUGGUAGGUGAUCGUUGGACCUCGACCGGGAAGGGGUGAACCUUAACCGGGAAGAGGAAGCUAUUGGAUGAGAGAUAGUGUUUUUUGGCACUCCUCGAUCGGACCUCGACCAAACAAGGGUAACCGGUAGACCGGUUCCCUAAUCGAUUGAGCCGGUUGGCCAAAGCCUCGACCGGUUCAGCCUUUUGGUCCCGAAAACCUAUCUUUUUGAAUUCCUUUCUUUUCUAACACUUAGGUAAGGUCUUUAGGUGAAUGCCAAUUUUAAAACGUUUUGCCUAAGGUACAUUUGAUAAAACUCGGGUUUUAAUGAAAUCGAAGUUUUAAAGGAUAAACCGAGUUUUCUAAGAUGCAUGAAAUGAUAUGAAAAUCCUAAGUGCACCAACAACCUUCCAAAAAGAUCUUAUGAAGUUUGGGUCUUGAAAAACACUUCUCUUUGAGGUGGUCUUCUUCUUCAUGAUUUCUUUUUGACUUGGUUUGUCUUUGUGAUUGCCACUUUGGAAAUCAUCUUGCCUAAUCACACUUGAAAUAUAAUCAUUAGUUCUAAACCUUGUUUUGUUAUCAUCAAAACCGAGAUUAACCAAACCGUGGUUUCACAAUCUCUUAUGAUGACAAAACCAAGGUUGCUAAAGAGCUCCCCUUCAAUAUAUGCUCCUUUGAAUUUAGAAAAUAUUCAAGUUUAGAAACUUCAAGGAGUAUAUUAAAGAUGCUCAAAAUGAUAUAAUUAAACAUAAAUAGCAUAAAGAGCAAUUUAGCAAUUGCAAAAUAUUAUUAUUUAAACAUGAUGCAUGUAAUUAUAACCAAUAAAGCACAUAACAUCAAUAUGAAUAGGAUUGCUGAAACAAAAUUGACAUUUCUUCCCAAGUUAGCAACCUACCAUUACUUCUCCCCCUUUUUGUCAUCAACAAAAAGUUUCAAUAAAGUAUAUAAGGGAAAUCACAUGUUAUCAAAAGUUUAAAAAAUAAACAAUAAGCAUGAUAUGAUUUCUCAUGAAAAUGAAUCUCCCCCUUUUUCAUUUGAGAAUAGUUUCCAAAUAAAAGAUUGCUCAUCCUUAGAGCAUUUCCAAUUUAAAGCAUGAUUUGGAAAUAUAUGUGAGAGAACAUAUGCAUUUAAAAAGAUAUAUAAUAUGCAUUGAAUAACACUAUUAGAGUUUACAAGCAUAUGAACAUUCAAUUUUACCUAGGUAUAUUAAAAAAAUUUCUUUUUAAUCCAAACCUUGGUUUAAAGAUAUACCAAUUUUAUCAAAGUGAUGCCAAAUGUUAUAUUAUUGACAAAAAAUAUGCCAAGUGUUAGAAAAAUAAUAAAAUGAUAUUGCAAAUUAAGCUUUAAAAGGGAUACCAUUACCAAUAUUAUCAACGCAUUCUUUCUAAGGUAAGCAUAUCCUCAUUUUUGCAUGGAUCCCUACAAAAACAAAUUAAGUAACCUUUGGUACCCAUAUCUUUUUGGGUCCUAGAGGGUUAGUCUUUCUUCCAUUUGGAAUCCAAAAUAAUUUAGAGUUUUGAAGAACAUGAGGGGAUUUACCAAUGUGACCUCCUCUUUCACAAAGAUUGCAAAUAGUUGAAUGUGAAAAACUAGAGGUUUCCUUUACAAAAUAAUUCUUAAAAAAAAAAUUGAUUUUUGAAAGGCUUGUAGCCUAGCCUUUUUUUUUUUUUAAUAUCAAAAAUGCACUUUUGAUUUGCCAAAAUCAUAUCAAAAGUCUUUUGGCCAUUUCAGAAUUUUUAACUCCUCAUUUUCCUUUUCAAAAGGGAUUUUUGCCUUCUCAAUAUUUUCAAAAUUUUCAUUAUGCUCACUGAGCUCAUUUUGAAGACAAUAAAUCUUUUUCUUGAGAGAUAUAUUUUUGAAUCCAAGUUUUUCAAGAUCAAAAUAUAAUUCUUGAAGUACAUCUUGAAACUCGUUAUGGUUAGAGUUGGAGUUUACCUCAUCUUAAUGUUCUUCCAAAGCCAUAAAGCACAUAUUGGCAUCCUCAUUUGUGCAUUCUUCUUCCAUGGAGUCUUCAUCACUUUCACUUUCACUCUCCUCCUCUUCAUCAUCAUUUAUUGAAGCCAUAAAAGCUAUACUUUUCUUAUUUUCUUUAACUCUUUGAAAAUUGUUCAAAUUUAUCUCAUAAGUCAUGAGUGACCAAUGAGUUCUUCAAGUGAGAGUUUGGUGAGAUCCUUUGCUUCUGGAAUAGCCGUCACUUUUGUUUCUCAUUUCUUUGGUAGAGACCUUAAAAUCUUCAUGACUUUCUCUACUUUUAUGUAGGUCUUUCCCAAGGCUUCAAGUUCAUUCACAAUCACCAUGAACCUAGAAAUCACCUCAUGAGUGAUUUCUAAUAGUCUCCAAAUUUCUUUAGCCGACUUACAUUGCCAAAUAUGAUUAAAUUUAUUUCUAUAAAUAGCACAAUGUAAGAUAAAAACGGCUUUGGCAUUUAAUUGAACUUUCUUUCUAUGAAGUUCAUCUCAUUCAUGCUUAGGUUUUGGAACCAUCACUCCAUUUUCUAAUUUUGAAGGAAUGUGGGGACCAUCUUUAAUGACAUCCCAUAAAUCAAGAUUAGUAGAUUGGAAAAACCAAGUCAUUUUAAUUUUCCAACAAGGAUAAUUGGUUCCCAUGAAAAGUGAAGGUCAGGUGGUUGAAAAACUUUCAAUGUAAGAUGAGCUUGAUGGAUUAGCCAUUACUACUUAGAUGAUUAAGUCUUAAACAAGAAGCCUAGUUCUGAUACCAAUCGUUAGGACCUCAGACACUACCAACUCUCUUAAAAGCAAUUGCUUGUAGGAAAGGCGCAUACCCUAACCUUAUAGUGGAUUCACCCAAGCACUCAUGGCGAACAUAAGGGGAGUUGAUGGAUGCGGCCAACCUUCCAAUUGCUUUUAGGAGAGUUGGUAGCGCCUAAGAUCCUACAAGUGGCAUCAGAGCCGAGGUCACGGGUUCGAACCCUAGGGGUGUCGCUGGGAGGGAGAUUGUUGGCAGAUCGGAGGGUUGACCGCAUCCAUCAACUCCCCUUGUGUUCGUCAUAGGCGCUUGGGUGAAUGCACUAUAAGGUUAGGGUAUGCACCUUUCCUACAAGCAAUUGCUUUUAGGAGAGUUGGUAGCACCUGAGGUCCUACAGGAUGGAUGUGAUAUAAUUCUCAAACAUGGUUAACUCAACAACCUCAUUGUAAGUUGUCUCGGGUUUUCAUCUCUAUGAUGGGUGUGUGGUAAAGUCUCAAGAUGGGUGUGUUCCAAGCCUUUUUAAGUAAGCUUUGAAAAGUCAUCAUAUCCUCCUUAGAACAAUAAGUGUUGAGAUAUUAGUAUUAUAAAGCCUUGGGAUGGUCGCUUGGCCUAGAAUGGUUAAACUAUGAGAUGGGUGCACUAUAAAACCUUAGAAUAGGUUUAUUGUAAGCCUUUGGGGGUGUUAUUGCUUAUAGAUAAUUGGCUUGGGAAAGUGUGUUGUGAACCUUGAUAUAGUAAUAUAAGGGUUCGUUUGGUAAUGAUUUUAGGAAGUGUUUUUAAUGUAAAAAGUAUUUUUUUUUAAAAAUAAUUAAGUGCUUGUCAAAAUAAUUAAGUAUUUUUUUGAAGUACCAUGCCUUUAAAAUCUUUAAUUAUUGAAUUUUUGAAAAUCAAUGCCAAUAAUUGUAUUUUAACUACCUAGCUACAAUCUAAAAAUUAAAUUGAGGUAUUAACUCCACUAAAUAAUAGAAUGACCAUAGCUCGAAUAAACAUUAGUCAAACGUGAUAAAACUAUAGACUAAGUGGACAUUGCUAGUUUUGGACAAUGUAAAACCAGUGUGCACCCAAGACUCGAAGAUAUAGUAUCUAAUCAGAUGAGAAGUUUGGGUAUUCUCUUGAAAAGUUUAGGUAUUUUGUAUAUUGUAUUGCAUUAUGCUUGGUUUAGGAAUGUAUUAAGAAAAAUUAUUUUUUCAUAUUAGGUUGAUUUCAUUUAUCUCUCUUAAAGUUUUGACUAAAUAUAUAUAACUUUUAUUGGUUUGAAAUUUCAUCAAAUAUCUUUCAUAUAUUUUAUAUUUACUAUUUUCAUUCACCUCUCUCAUUUCAUCCAAAAUAAGAAAGGUGUUUGGUAAAAUUUCAAACCAAUAAAGGUCAAGUGUAUUUGAUCAAAUCUAAAGGAGAAAUGAGUGAAAUUAAUCUUUCAUGUUUGGUUUUAUCAUAAAAAAUAAAAAAAUAUAUAAUUAAAAUUAAUUAAACAUAAAAGGUAUGUUUAAUGUGGAAUAAAGAGGUAAAAGAGGUAAAGAGAAUAAACGAGAAGUAUAUUAUGUAUGAAUUGGGAUCUAAAAAAAUAGUACUUUGUAUCUAUCUUGCAAAUGUAGUUUGUAAGUAUCCUAUAUGCAAUAUAAUUUGUUGAGUCAAAUACAAAAACAUGAACCCUAAACAUAGGAGUAUUUGAAAUAUUAAUGAUGGCCAAGGAUUGGUUUUACUUCAUCAUCUAAUAUUUGGAAUUGCUCACUUAACCCAAGAUGUGCAUUAAGAAGGCAGACAUGAGUGAGCAGCUCUCCACCUCGCCUAAGCUGAUGGCUGUGUUGAACCUAUUCACAAUGAGUAGCCGCAUAGAAUAGCAUCUCCAUCCACACAUGACUUAUCAUCUCCCAUUUCUCCUCUGUCCCUGCCAUUUCCGGUGAUUCUAAUAUUUUGGCAAGUCUAUAUGCCUCGAAUAAUACGGACUUGCUUUUAUCUCCUUUCACAUCUCUAGGUAGCAGUUGCGUAUCACUUUAAGCAACGAUGUGCAAGCUUCAUCUCUAUUAGAUAUGGCCUCCCAUUUUUUGCUGAAAAAAUCUUUUGGCCUCUGAACGAGUGUCUCGGAAUCUCCCCUAUUCCUUUUGGAAGCAUAAAUGGUCAUAUGACUAGGAGAUGGAGCAUGUAAUUAGAUAAUAACUUGCUUAUAUUGUACCUUGAUUUAGGAUCAGGGUCUUUAUGAUCAAAAGAACUGCCAUACAUAUCUGUAGCAAUAUGCCAGAGAAGGAGGCUGUGAACAAAUUCCACAUCAACUAUACUCCAACCAAGUUCAUUAAUAAACCCCUUUUUUGUAAUCACAUAAUUACCUCUGUGUUUGAGUAGCUGCUUGAGAUUUCCACCUUCGUUUAUCAUCUCUAGAACCCACCAGAAGAUGGAUUAAUUUAUAUCAUCCACUUUCUCCCAAGUCAUGUACCAGUACUUGUCCAAGAAUUUGUUCAAGUCGAUGAACUUGGGAACCCGAUCAAACUUGGUUUUGUCUCUGAGGCAAGAAUCAAUUAAGUUGUUCUGUGCGAUGCGUCUAGACCACCUCCUGUCACUGGAUACAACUGAUCGAAAAGAGGAGAUGGCUCGACCAAUGGAAUCAGCCAGGGGGUUCCUCUUACUGCUCAACCAGAAAAUGGUCCAGUGGGACAAAAUCAGCAUAAUGAGAGCAUAUAUAAAUCUCAAGAACAAUAGCUCCAAACAGUAACGUGUAAGUUACGCCGAUGUCAAUGUUUGAGAACUCGUGCUUAUCAAUGAAGAAGCAGAAGGCCACUAAAGUAAAAAUUGUGGAGAAGAAGCUUGUGGAGCGGAGCAGAAGGCCUAGUUCAGAAUAAGCCACUGCUGCCUUGGUGUGGAGCACAUCAUACAUGCAUAAAACCGAGCUCCAUCUCUACCACUUCGAAGGCAUCUUCAGAUGGCAAGCACCUGAUGAUGCUGUCACUGAUUUUUUGUUCAUCCAAGCUGAGGAUGAGGUCUGCAUAUAGAUGCCUGAAGUGCCCCUCGAAUAAGAAGUAAGCUUUAUGAAUAUAUUUUGCAUCAGGAAUAUAUAGUAAUGUCAUCACCGACAGUAGGUGGUGGAAGGGGACAUUUAAUCGCCACCUGAAAUCCUACAUCCUCUCGUUUUCUUGAACUAUAAUCCUCCAUGAAUUUAUCAUAAUCAGGUCCAGGAUCAGGGGGUCGGAGCAAGGAGUCUCUGAAUUGCUUGCUGCUUGCAGACCUGUGAACCCAGGUCCUCUCUCCAUACUUGAUCAUUCCAGCAAUAAACAUUAGAAUGAACAGAAAAGUGAGUCCAGUUCCUAUCCAGUACCUUAGAAACACAACCAGCCGCUCCAACUUGGAUGACUAGUCCAAGCAAGUGCCUCCGCCCCAACUCGCUGUCCUGUAAGGAGUAGGCAGUGAUGCUAUCCAGCCCACCAAGGUGGAGGAGAAGGAAGGGUGCCCAAAAUGCCAUGAGCGAAUAGUUUGGAUCCGGGGAGCUUCUGGAGAGAGUACCAAGCGAAACAGUUUGCCAUCAAGUCUGCUAACAAGUAUGGCAGCCAAAUUAGAAUCCUAAUCCAGCUUCCAGCUAUACGUUUUCGUUGGUUGCCAGAGAUGACAAGCAUAAUUUGUAGCAACAGACUGAAUAAAACCAUCACACGGAUAUCCCAUUCGUCCCAAAGUUUUUGCACCUUUGAGAAAAUCUCCAUUGCCUGCCUCUUCUCACUACGUAAUUAUGAGAUUAAUUCACUUGCAGUUUUUUCAGAUUCUCCAGUGCCAUAUUUAUUCCCUAAUCAUUAUUUAACUAUGACAAACUUACAAUAGUAGGCAUAGACCUCCAAUGGCCUUGAGGGGACUCUAACGGGUGACCAUUAGAGAGCAAACCCAAGGCCGGACCAACUGAGCUACCCUCAGGGUUAAAAAAAAAAAAAUGCCUUUGUAAAUUAUUUGUAAAAGGAAAACCAUUGGGCAUUAUGGGGUUCUUUAAUCAUUUGUUGAGAAACAUAUUGAAGAAUAAGAAUUGUCCUAAAAGAAAGAAAGGUGGCUUAGACAAAUAGAAACCGACAAAAGUGGAGUUGUUAACAAAUCUUUCCAUAUUUCCAUAAUUUAUUUAAACCUAUUAUUUUAUGAUGAUCAUGUGAGUAAAACAUUUAUAGAUUUAUAUAGUUUAAGGUCUUUUUGGUAACUUUCUUUAUUUUUUAUUUGAAACAACUGUAUAAAAAAAAGCAAUUUUUUAGAAUAUUUCUUUGAUAUUUUCUAAAAUAAAAAUCUAUUUGAGAACUUUAAAUAUUUUUAAUUUAUUUUGUAUAUUUUUAAAUAUUUUUUAAAAUUAAGUUUUAUGAGCUUUAUUUUCAAUUAUUAUCCAUUUUUUAGAAUUAUUUUUUUUAAAUAUCAUUUUAAAAACAAAUAAAAAUUAUUAAAAUAUGUCAUGAGAAAACAUCUCAUUUUUUCAAGGAAAAAAAAUUCAAAAAUUAACAAAAUCAAAUUCGGAUUAUGUUAAGAAUAAUGUGACUAAGGUCGGAAGACUUUAUAGUGGAUUUGUAUUGCCUAGGUUAAAUCAUUUUGAGAAAAUUAGGCCAAAGAGACUUCACAUGCAUUAUUUAGAAAGAGGUGUUAAUUAACUUUUAUUCAUAAAAAAAUAAAAAAUAAAAAUAUGAUUCUUUCUAAAUUAAUUGUGAAAGGAAGACCAUUGAAAGUUGAAACACCACUGUGGGCCUUGAUCCCACUGUUGAUGCCUCGCGCUCCUGGUGUUCCACGUAGUUGCCAAAUGAAUGGACAUGCGAUCUCAACCCACAAAGGUUCUUGAUUCAAUCGUUGUACCUGCAAAAGACAUCCGGACAGGGUGUCCGGACGCACCCUCCGAUGGUUUUGUUAGCCAUGGUUAGAGAGGGAGAUAUAAAUCAGUUGACCUUUUACUAGGUAUCAGGAGAUCACCUUCUUCUUCGUGCGAAGGUUCAUAUAUAGUGUCAGGAGUACUGUUCCUCUCAUUAAUGGCGAGGAGAUAUUUUAUGUUUGUCAUGAUGACAUUCGGAGGCAGCAUGGUCAUCACCACCCUACUGGCGACUGUCAGAAACCGUGGUAGGUGAUGCUGCUGUCAGAGAUCGUGGGAAGUGUUCAUGUAGAAUGAUCGUGGAAAGUGACUUGUUGUCACCUCAACUCGUCCUUUCACUCUACAGGCAAUGGGACGUGGGCCAUGGCUGGUUUGUUGCGAUAGCGUGUAAGACUCGCUUUACUUUAGUCAAUGAUCCAGACAAUCAUAUCCGGAUAGCCCAUGUUGGUUAUCCGGAUGUAUUGUGGAGCGGACGUAUUUAUGGAAGUCGUCCGGAUGCCUAUGCUUCGUAAGCGUCGUUUGCUCUUCCUUGAGGCAGUCCGGAUAUACAAGGUGCGCCAUGUGUGCUUUAUAAGAAGGUCCGGAUGAGGGUGACCCGGAUGACAAUGCGUGCCAUGUGUCACUGUAAGAUACGUGCCACGUGUCUUGGCCAAAUGCGUGGCACGUGUUCUCAGAGGGCGGGGUCCCUACAAUGCCCUCCUUUUUUAACUUGCCUAUUUUGCCUUAGAAAAAAUGGGCGGGUUAAAAAAUAAUUGGUUUUUGAAACAGAAGUCGACCUUUCGUCUGGUUGGGCCACAUGGCGAGUGGGGGUGCGGGAGCCAAGAAAGGCAUUUAUAAUGAGCCGCCGACUCUGGGUAUUCCCAGGCAGCAUGUCGUUUCAAUGAUGGCGCUGUUUGGGUGUUUGGUUUUCCGAGGGCUUGUCUCCCUAUAAAUAGCAUACUGUGCCCAUUGUUGCUUUUUUUUCCUACUGCUUUUUCUGAGAUUGCUUUCUUCUUCAACUUUGUACGUACCUUCGCUUUCUUCCGAGUAAAACUCAAAAUUUUCCUAACGGUGAUUUGCGCUUUGACGGUGUUUGCCUUGCGGUUUUGCAACCCUUGCUCUUCUCUUACAUUUGGUACGUAUUCUUUGUGCCUUGUUCUUUUCUUUUCUGCGCUUUGGUGUUUGUUGGUUUGUUGCUGGUUUGUUUGGGCGAGUGUUGUUUGUGACUGGGUAUUUUAAGGGUUUCCGUUGCCCCCCUGUGUUUUUGUGGGUUGGGGGUUUCUUGUUGGAGUAGAGUCAAGGAUUUUUGGAAUGGGUAUAUUGGUGGUGCGAGAUUUUCUGAGUGUUGUUAUUGUUUAGGGUUUGCGGGGUUGGUUGGCUGUGUUUGACUGUUGCAUUUCUUGUAUGUAGGUUUUGGUUCAAUCUCGGCCUAAAAAUGUCUUCAAAGAAGAAAGCUGCUUCAUCUGCCCGAGUCGGCGACGCUCAUGAGAAGUCUACAGACAAACUGAGCGUAAAGGAGUUCCGAGAUCGAUUCUACAUUCCAAAUGGCGUAAUUGUGGAAUUUUUGAAUGGGGAGGAUGUCGUAUCUACUGAAAAAGCUGAACAAGAUACCGUCAUCUUCUCCAAGGAACAAUUCAAUGCGGGGCUCCGAUUCCCUCUACCGGCGUUGUUCAAGGAAUUUCUUCAUUUCACCAAGAUUCCACCCGUCUUCAUUCACCCCAAUAUCAUCCGGGUGCUGAUGGGAUGCAGCAUCAUAAACAUGCUGUACAACCUCGAUCUCACGCUGCUGGAGGUGUUUUUUGUCUAUUCGCUGAAGAAGGCAAAAACUGACAUCUUCAGCCUGUCCGCGCACCUACCCUCCCUUCAAUUGGUGACGAAACUGUCAGACUCGACGAAGGGAGGGGCGAGGGGACACGUGAUGGUCCGGGGUGCAUGGGCGGGGUCGAAGCAUCCGGCGAGGCCCUUCUCUCCAAACUACUCCUUAGUGAUUCCGGGUAAGUUUGCUUUGCGACUUUUGUCCGACUUUUACUUUGUUGUCUUUUUGUUAAUUUUUCCGGGCAGUAUUCUCAUCCUUUGUUUGCUGUCAAUGCAGGUUCGGAAAGGAGGGGCCACCUCGUGGAUUGGGUGGAAAAGACGUCUUUUGCCUGUCUCAGCAAGUUAUUUGAGAUAGACGCCAAGGAGAGGCAGUGCAAGACGCUGCUGACUGCGUGGAACCUGAUGGCGGUCGUCCGGGAGCCCCAAGAGUAUGUCAUCAACAUUCUCCCCAGGAAGAUGCCAAAGGAGGUAGUGCCUGGGGAGCAUUACACUGUGAAGGAUCUCCCGAUCUACCAGGAGUUCAAAGAGGUUGACGCUGAAAAACGCCGAGCACUCUUGGAUGAUCGGGAGAAGAGAAAGAACGAAGGAACCCUUCGGAAGGCUCCCAGACAGAAACGCGGCGCGACCUCUCCUCCAAAUAAAACUCCAGCAAAAAGAAGGAAGUUAGUGAAGAAGAAUGGGAAGGGGGUGAAGGAGUCCACUCCUCUCAAGGAUUUUAUCCCUCCGCCAAUUACUCAUGAGGCGGAGGUAAUAAUAGAGGAACCAGUGAACCCUGCUCCUCAUUCUAUCUCAAGCGGAUCCGGACACGUCGCGAGGCUGAACCACUCAAGUACCUUCUUAGCAGCGGUUGCCCGUCUGGCAAAUUUGGUUGAGGAAGCUGCGUUCAUCAACCAUCCGGACUCCCCUACUCCGGAUGUCGAUGCAGUUGAAGCCGUUUGCGCGGCCCCGAUGGAGGAAGCAGGGGCAGAAAGCCAGAGUCAGCCCUCUGAUGAUUCGGACCGUCUGGCUCUUGUUCUGGUGAAGGAGCCACCUUCAAAGAGGCCUCACUCGGCGCGCAAUCUGAGGUCCGGACUCCUCGGGCGGCUUCAAGAUCGUCAGCAAGAGAUCGAAGUUAGUUGCUCAUCCGCCCACGACGCUCAUCCGGAGGGGGGCGAAGUGGAGAUGACAACUGAGCCUCCAUCCGUCCCUGUGAUGGUCCCGGCUGAGGUUGCACCCGGGGAGACCCAUCCGGUCGUAAAUGUUGAGGCCCCGAAUCCGGAACAAGAGUCUCGUUCUGUUGCCUCAUCAGGCGGGGAUCCUGUUAAUGAUGCGUCUUGCACCUCCGCUAGCCCUUUUAGCUACGCGGAGUUGGAAGAUAAGCUGAAACAGAUUCCACCCGACUUGACCAGUGUUAUGCCUUCAGCCAAGAUGUUCGAGAUGGUGGAAUCGGUAUACUGUCUUUGUGCUUUUUUAUUUUUUGUCCUUCUGAUAUGUGUUUGUGGUGUGAUUUCUAACUUUGCUUUUCUCGUUUGACUGUUUACCUGCAGCUGGUGAGUGGUCUCCGUGGCAUGGUCAAUCAAUACGAUCUUUUCACUGACCUGCUGCGGACCACUGAUUACAUGAAGGCCUUCGCCGCUCGGCACAAAGAUACUGAAGACCAGUUGCGCCUGAGACUGGGGAAGGCUGAAGCUAGCGUAUCCACUGCCCGAGGGGAGAAUGAGGCCCUCCGGGCAGAUUUGGCUGAUGCAAAGAGCCGGGAGGAAUCAAUGGAGGCCCGCCUGCAGGAGGCAGAGGAUGAGAUGGCCCGGCUGCGGGGGGAGGUGAGGCAACUCCAGACCGAGGCUUCAAUUGAAAAGAAGCAGAAACAAGAUUUGCAAUUGCGCUUAUCAGCGCAAAAAGAAGAGCUAGAACGGGAGUUUGCUGCAGAGAGGGAGGAACUUGAAGCGGACUACCAAAAACAAGUGGAUGACACCUUCAUCUUUGGCUAUCGCUGUUGUAUGAAGAAGAAUGGCAUAAAGCGGGAUGUCCCUUCAAUUCCUCCGGGUGAAGAGAAGAAACUUUAAGGUUCUCCCUGAUAGCUUUUGUCUUUUUGCAACUGUUUGCUGUAAUCUUCUUUUUGUAUUUUCGUGGUCCGGAGACCUCUUUGCACAUUCAUUGAUACAUAUCAAUAAAAUAUGUCUUUUUCUUCUAUUUGUACUUGUCUCUCUUUUUCAUUGAUAAUACUGUUUUAAAUUGGACACAUUCCAUGGUCUAAGUAAUGGAGUCCCGUCUAACUUUUGUAAAUGAUAGGCUCCACUCUCACUUGCCUUAGACACUAUAUAGGGUCCUUCCCAGUUAGCUUGGAAUUUCCCUGCACCCACUUCAACAGUGUUUUCAAAAACUUUUCUAAGGACUAGCGUACCAUUUUUGAAGUUUCUGGGCCUUACUUUGCGAUUGUAGUGGGCGGAUGCUCUUUGUUGAUAGUCUGCCAUCUGGAUGGCUGCACUUUCUCUUACUUUAUCCGUCCAAUCCAAAUUUCUUCCUAAUUCCGUGUUUGCAUCAUUUUGCUUUGCUGCAUCAGUCCGGACAGUAAGAAGACCUAUUUCAGUAGGAAUGACUGCGUCCAUUCCAUAUGCGAGGGCGAAAGGAGUGUUUCCUGUUGGUCGUCCGGGUGUGGUUCGAUAGGCCCAUAGGACGCCGGGUAGCUCCUCCACCCACUUCCCUUUGGAUUGUUCAAGCAUUUUCUUUAAGGCAGUGAUUAGGGUCUUGUUUGUGGCUUCUGCUUGCCCAUUACUUUGAGGAUAUCGUGGUGUGGAAUAUGAAUUCCGGAUGUUCAGCUUCGAACAGAAAUUCCUGAAAGCAAUGUUGGUGACAUCUUUGUCUUUGAUGCUAGCAUAUGCUUCAACUUCCACCCAUUUACUAAAGUAAUCAGUGGCAACAAGGAGGAAUUUCUUCUGGGCAGGCGCUGCUGGGAGGGGUCCCACUAUAUCCAUGCCCCAUUGUGCAAAAGGCCAUGGGCCUGAGACUGACUUCAACGUUGCUGACGGCAUAUGUGGAAUGGGAGCAUACCUUUGACAUUUAUCACAUCUUUUGACAUAUGCUGCCGCGUCUUUCUUCAUUGUUGGCCAAUAGUAUCCUUGCGAAUGAGCCCUAUGUGCCAGAGAUCGUCCUCCCGAAUGAUUUCCGCAUAUUCCCUCAUGCAACUCAGUUAACACAUACUGGGCCUCUGAAUGCCCUAGGCACUGGAGGUAAGGUCCUGUGAAGGAUCGCUUGUACAGGUGCCCCCCAAUCAGGGUGAAACGGGCAGCUUGCACCCGGAUUUUGUGUGCCUGCUUGGGAUCUCCGGGUAGAGUGUCUGUCCGGAGAUAUUCUGCAAUAUUGUCCGUCCAUUCUUGGUCGUUUGCUUGGGUUGCCUCAAUGGUGUUGCAAGUGGAGGUUUCUAUGACAGAAGGGCUGGUUUGCACAUGUAUAGGCAAUAGAAUGGCUUCUUUGAUGGGGAGGGAGACAGCUAUGCCGGCCAAGGCGUCAGCGCGCCUAUUGUCAGCUCGCUUGAUUUUUUCGAUUGUCCAUUCGAUGAAUUGCUGUAGGGUGUCUCUUACUUUAGCUAAGUAUCGCGCCAUGCGUGCGUCCUUAGCCUCAUAUUCUUCCUGGACAUGCUUUACCACGAGUUGUGAGUCGCUGUAGAUCUGGAGUUUGGAGACGGAUAGAGCAAGGGCGAGGUCCAAUUCGGACAAGAUGGCCUCAUAUUCUGCUUCAUUGUUAGAGGCAGAGAAUUCCAGCCGGAUGGCUUGCUCCAAAUGUUCCCCAGUUGGGGACUGUAGUAGAAGCCCAACUCCAAAGCCUGAUGAGCGUGAGGCUCCAUCAACUCGCAGAGUCCACCAUUCUUGUUUACUUGAUUCGUGGUGUUGGCUGGGUCUUCGGGAAUAUUCUAGCACGAAGUCAGCCAUUACUUGGCCUUUCAUGGACAAUCUGGGUUGAAAUUCGAUUCCAAAUUCGCUUAAUUCGAUGGCCCAUUGUAGCAUUCUUCCGGUUAAAUCUGGUUUGUGCAGAAUGUUGCGAAGGGGCUGGUCAGUUAGUACGAUCACUGGAUGAGCUUGGAAAUAAGGGCGGAGCUUCUAGGCAGCGCUUCGAAGGGCUAAGGCUGUUAGCUCCAUUUUUGAAUAUCUGGUUUCUACGUCUGCCAAUGCCCUGCUGACGUAGUAGAUAGGUUUUUACUCCUUGGGCGAGGGGCAGCGGAAUAGAACGGCGCUGAUUGCCCAUUCUGAUACCGCCAGAUACAUAUACAAUUUCUCCUUUGGAAUGAGACUGUUCAAGAUGGGCGGUUGCGUAAGACAAUGCUUAAUCUUUUCGAAAGCGUUCUGGCAACUGUCCGUCCAUCCGUGUGCUCCAGCUUUUCAUAUUGCCAAGAAGAAGGGUCGCAAUUCAUCAAUGAAGCGGGCUAUAAAACGCCCUAGUGCGACGAGCUUGCCUGUGAGUCGUUGUAGCUCCUUCUUGUUCCUGGGAGGGGGUGUUUCCAUGACUGCCUUGACUUGAUCUGGGCUGACUUCUAUGCCCUUUGGCUGAUCAUAAAUUCCAGAAAUUUGCCAGCACUUACGCCAAGGGCGCAUUUAGAAGGAUUUAGCUUCAUGUCAUACUUUCGUAAGAGGUGAAAAACUUCUUAUAAGUGAAGGACAUGAUGCUCUCGGGUUUUGCUUUUAACCACGAUAUCAUCAAUAUAUACCUCUACCGUGUGGCCUAUCAGAGGUUUGAAGAUUUUAGUCAUCAAUCUUUGAUAAGUGGCGCCAGCAUUUUUGAGUCCGAAUGACAUGACUUUGUAGCAAUAGAGGUCGUGUGGCGUUAUGAAUGCUGUCUUUUCUUCGUCAUCCGGGGACAUGGGGAUUUGAUGAUAUCCGGAGAAGGCAUCCAAGAAAGAGAGCAUCCCUUGCCCGGAAGUGGAAUCCACAAUUUGAUCUAUUCGUGGCAAGGGAAAACUGUCUUUUGGACAUGCAUUGUUGAGAUUGGUGUAAUCUACACAAACUCGCCAUUUUCCUUCUUUUUUAGGUACCACCACUACGUUUGCCAACCAAUCCGGAUAAGAUACUUCUCUGAUGAAUCCAGCUAUUAGCAAUUUGUCAAUCUCAUUCCGGAUGACUUUUUGUCUAUUCGGGUGGAAACGUCUAAUUUUCUGUCGGACGGGUCUGGCAGUUGGAAAGACGUUAAGCCUGUGAGAUGCAAUAGAGGGAUGAAUUCCCUUCAUAUCAGAGUGUGCCCAUGCGAAAAUGUCAUGAUUCUGUCUGAGAAUGUUUUGCAUGCUCUGAGUUUCUUCUUGUGUCAUGAGGGAACUGAUGUUCGUGAGGUGAGUGUUUUCCUCCGAAAUUUGGAUUGUUUGCAAGGGGUAUGCUGUCGGGGGAUCUUUGUCCGCCGGACCCAAUAAUUGCUAUUGGUCAUGUGUAUGGCUGGGUUUAGGGGGAGAUGCAUCUUCCUGGUUGACCCCUGCUUCACGUGCUAUCUGAUAGCAUUGGCAAGCGGCUAAUUGACUGCCAUAUAGGUCGAUUUGGCCAUCGUUGGUGAGAAAACUCACUAUUUGAUGAUAUGUAGAGGGGAUAGCUUUCAUGUAGUGGAGCCAUGUGCGCCCCAAAAUGACAUUGAAGGGUGAUAACUCCUGUACUACUGAAAACUGUACGUUGAGAGUGACUGGGCCUACUUGGACCGGCAGUACAAUGUCUCAUAAGGAUGUAGUUGAAGACCCGUUGAAUCCGGAUAGGAUUCGUCCAGGGUUUUCGAGGCCUGUGAGAUUGUGUCCCAUGUGGCCAACAACUGAUGCUUGCACAAGAUUGGCCGAACUGCCUGGGUCAACCAAGAUACGCCGCACAUCGAAGUCCCCAAUUUCCAGGGACAAGAUGAGGGCGUCGCGAUGUGGUUGCAGUGUCCGGGUGGGAUCUACUGGUGGGAAAAUGAUUGUCCCAUCUAUGGGGCGAGGGCCCCCUCCAGUUAGCCCAGGCCAGAUGGAAUUGAUGCGUUCGUGUAUUGAUGCGGCCCGCAACAAUUUUUGUCUCUUUCGCCUAGAGUCGUACUCCUCGUCAGAUGGACCUCCGUUAAUAUAGUUUAUAAUGACCUUGGGGGCAGCUGGGGCCCUAGGGGUCCCGGGGUUGUGAUGUUGGGAUGCGUCCCUUCCUCCAUUAUCUGAUCGGAGGUAUUGCUUCAAAUGCCCUGCUUUUAUGAGUCUCUCGACCAGAAACUGGAAAGCUCGGCAUGUCUCUGUUGUAUGGCCAUGAUCCUUGUGGAAGGCACAUCUCCUACUACGAUCCCUUGUGGAUGGGUCCGUUCCAAUGGGUCUAGGCCACUUGAAGUCGGACAAGCCCUGGAUCAUUGGGAGAAGUUUCUCAUAUGAUAUGGAAAGAGGUGUGAGAGGUGGCAUUUCCGGGCGACUUGGCCCUUCCUACCUUCGGUCAGACGGCUUUGGCCGAUCCGGAGGUUUAGUGUUUCUCUCCGCAUUACUUCUAGAUGGUCGUCCGGCAACCAAAACUUGCUGGGUGGCUGCACGUACGUCAUCUUCGAGCAUUGAAUAUUUGUUGGCGCGCCUAAAUAAAUCAUCCAUUGUUGUAGGAGGUUUUUUAGCCAGUGAUUCGAAAAAUGGAGUGUCUGGACAGAUGCUUCGCUUGAAGAUCUGUAGGACAGCAUCCAUACUACAAGCCUCUACUUGAAGCACGGCUUGGCCAAAUCGCUUCACGAAUUCCCUCAAGGAUUCGUUAUCUUGCAUUUUUAUGUUCUGCAGGGUGCUGAUAUUUUGCUUGUGUCGAGCGGAGCACAAGUAUUGUCCCACGAAAGCUUCGGACAGGUCCCUGAAAUUGCCAACAGAGUUGGGAGGUAGGCGAUGAAACCAUGAGAGGGUCUGUCCUUGUAGGCUGACGGGAAAUACUUUGCAUAGUAGUGCAUCAUUGCCAAUAUCGAGCGUCAUUAGCUGUCGAUAAUGCAUGAUGUGAUCGAAGGGAUCGUUGGUUCCAUCGUAUGUGGAAAACUUUGGUACGAGGAAUCCCCUUGGGGGCUCGUAAUUAAUGAUAUGAGAGCAGAAAGGCGUGGAGAGCAUGUCAUCCAGCCUUUUGCUGAUGGAGCCAAUGGGUGGCUCGUUUGGGAUGUUUCUCCUAGUUGGUUGUUCCGCUGGGUGCGAAUGAACGUUCCGCAUCACGGGGGUGACUACGGGGUCACGAUGCGGGUGAACGUUUUGCACCAUGGGGGUGGCCAUGGGGUCAGGGCGUGGUGCCCAGGUUGUGGCCAUUGGUGACCUUGAUCUUCCAGGCUCUUAUGGGCCUAGUCUUGCGCGCAUCGAAUUUGACAACUGGGAUUUUUUAUCACGUUGUCUUUUUGCUGAAAAGUGAGUAGAGUCUGAGCUUUCCUCACGGGGAGCUCGAGGCAUAGGCGUGCGUGGCUCAUGAGGUCUUACGUUGCAUGCUCCUGGGAUAGCUCCUGUUGUCCCAGGAUAUAUUGAUUCUGGUUCUUGUUGAGGCCUUGAGUUUGCUACUUGGCCCCUUGAACGCUGACGUCGAGGAGGCCCUGAUGUUGAAGCCUGGAUGCGUAAUACAUCGUUUUCUUCUCUCAAUCUUUCUGUCUCCUGGAGGAGAGCUUUCAGUUGUUGCUCGCUUGCCAACUGUCUCCUUUCGAUGGCUUGACGCCAUUCAAGAUUAUCCUCCACUCCUUUACCAGAUGAUCGGCUUCGGGAAGGUGUGGCCAUCUUUUUUAGUGACUGAAUCAAAGUAAAAAAAAGUUCCCACAGACGGCGCCAAUGUUGAUGCCUCGCGCUCCUAGUGUUCCACGUAGUUGCCAAAUGAAUGGACACGCGAUCUCAACCCACAAAGGUUCUUGAUUCAGUCGUUGUACCUGCAAAAGACAUCCGAACAGGGUGUCCGGACGCACCCUCCGAUGGUUUUGUUAGCCAUGGUUAGAGAGGGAGAUAUAAAUCAGUUGGUCUUUUACUAGGUAUCAGGAGAUCACCUUCUUCUUCGUGCAAAGGUUCAUAUAUAGUGCCAGGAGUACUGUUCCUCUCAUUAAUGGCGAGGAGAUAUUUUAUGUUUGUCAUGAUGACAUUCGGAGGCAGCAUGGUCAUCGCCACCCUACUGGCGGCUGUCAGAAACCAUGGUAGGUGAUGCUGCUAUCAGAGAUCGUGGGAAGUGAUCAUGUAGAAUGAUCGUGGGAAGUGACUUGUUGUCACCUCAACUCGUCCUUUCACUCUACAGGCGAUGGGACGUGGGCCAUGGCUGGUUUGUUGCGAUAGCGUGUAAGACUCGCUUUACUUUAGUCAAUGAUCCGGACAAUCAUAUCCGGAUAGCCCAUGUUGGUUAUCCGGAUGUAUUGUGGAGCGGACGUAUUUAUGGAAGCCGUCCGGAUGCCUAUGCUUCGUAAGCGUCGUUUGCUCUUCCUUGAGGCAGUCCGGAUAUACAAGGUGCGCCAUGUGUGCUUUAUAAGAAGGUCCGGAUGAGGGUGACCCGGAUGACAAUGCGUGCCAUGGGUCACUGUAAGAUACGUGCCACGUGUCUCGGCCAGAUGCGUGGCACGUGUUCUCAGAGGGCGGGGUCCCUACACCCACCAUUGAUAACUGUGGAGAUCUGCCAAACUUAAUUGGAGAUGGUGAGGGGUUUUGAAAGUUGGAGUGAUGGAGUUGAGUUCAAAUUUUCAAGAGACAGACAUACUCUGCUUCACCUAUUAUAUAUUCAAUUUUUUUUGUCACCUUCUUUCCUCAGUUUUCUUCUAAUUUUCUCCUCUGUUUUUCUUACAAUUUUGGUAACUACAAUAACAUUUAAACCCAAUUUCUCAAUUAAAAUUAAAUUAAAUUAAAUUAAAAUUUAAAAUUUUUCUAUGUAAUUUAGAUGAAAAAUAAUUUAUCAUAUAUUAGUAAAAUUGUCAUUAAAAAAAGAAUGAGUAUGACUAAGAUAGACUAAGAUAAAUUGUUUUUUUCCCUCAUUUUGUUCUCUUAUUUUUGAAGUAAAUUUAGAAUUUAUUUAAUGAAUUCUUACUAACAAAAAAAAUCAAAUAAUAAAAAAAAAAUCACUUAAUUUGAUAAGAAAUGAAUUUAAAAUAAAUCUACAAACUUCCAAAAUGAAAUUAAAAUUGAGGUUUAAUUACAUGAUAUCAUAACUCAUCCAAUUGUCAAUAAAAUUAUAAUUAAUUUUUUUUUAUUAUAAAAUUUUAAGUUUAGCUCAUUAUAAUACAAUUAAAAAAAAUCAACUAUCAAUUAAAAUUGUAGAGAAUAAUUCAAAUUGGGCUAAAUAUCCACUAGAGUUAAUAAUUUUAAUUAAUUUUUAAAAAUCCAAAUUUAAGCGGUAAUUUUUUUCCCUAAAUUAAAAAACCAAAAAUUAAAGAAUUAAUUUGAAUAGUCAAAUAUACUUUCAAUCACAAAUGCAUAAAUUUAAAUGUAUGUGUCACAUAAAAACCACUAAGUAAUUAAUACAACUUAGUCUAGAAAAUUUUCAUUUCUGUUAGAUAUGGACUCCCUUAUUUGGAAUUUUCUCCUUCCUCUGUUUUGCUUGCAUUUCAUUUUUUGGGCAGCUGUAGCCAUUUGGUAACUACAAUUACACUUACACCCAAUUUCUCAUUUAAAAAAUUAAAAUAAAAUAAAAUUCAAUCUUAAAAAUUUUGUAUGCAAUUUAGGUGAGAAAUAAUUUAUCAUAUAUUAGUAAAAUUGUCAUUAAAAAAGAUUGAAUAUGACUAAGAUAAGUUGUUUUUUGUCCCCAUUUUGUUCUCUUAUUUUCAAGUAAAUUUAAAAUUUAUUUAAUGAAUUCUUACUAAAUAAAACAAAUCAAAUAUUAUAAAAAUCUCUUGGUUUGAUAAGAAAAGAAUUUAAAAUAUAUCCAGAAAGUUCCAAAAUCAAAACUGAGAUUUAACUACAUGAUAUCGUAGCUCAUCCAAUUCUCAAUAAAAUUAUAAUAAAAAAAAUUAUAUUAUAAGUGAAUUUAUUACAAAAUUUCCAAUUUAGUGAAAUUUCUAUAAUUAAAAUUCUAGACUAUAAUUCAAAUGCAUCUAAAUAUCCACUAGAGUUAAUAAUUUUAAUUAAUUUUGAAAAAUCAAAUGUUAGGUGGUGAUGUUUUUCUCUAAAUUAAAAAUCCAAAAAUUAAAGAAUUAAUCUAAAUAAUCAAACAUUGGAUUCAAUUACAAAUUCAUAAAUGUAUCACAUAAAAACCACUAAAUAAUUAAUACGACUUAAUCUAGAUAAUUUUCAACACUUUGUUAGUAAUCAAACAUAAUUAUUAUAAACUUUUGUUAUUAUAUUAAAUCUUGUUAUUUUGAAGCAUUUAGAAAUAUGUUAAAUUACUCUUUUUUUGUGCCCAACCCCCUCUUUCCUUAUAGGCGAGACGAAGGUUCUAUCCUCAUCAUGUGAAUCUGAAAAUUCUCUAAUCACACUUUAGGUAAAAAAAAACAAAAAAAAAAAAAGAAAAGUAAAGAGUGUUUUAUGGACCUAAUCUGUUUUUAGAAACUUUUUAUUUAAAAUAAAUAAAUAAAGCCUAAGGCUAUGUUUGGUUCCCGGAAAAUUUGAGGGAAAAUACGAGGGAAAGAAAAUACAAAAGAAAAGUAGAAGGAAAGAAAAAGUGAAGGAAAAUAAAAAAAUAGAUUAAAAUUUGAUAAAUUAUUUUUUUUGUUACUUCAAACUCAUUUUAUUUAUUUUAACUCAUCAAUAUAAAGAUUAAAUAAUUUAAAAAUACAUAAGUUUUUAAUUAGUUUUAAUUAUAUUUGAUUUUCUUUGAUAUUUUUCAUAGGACAACCAAACAUGAGAAAAUCAUUUUUCUUAGCAUUUUUUUUCUUUCCUUUGUACUUUCCGGGAACCAAACAUAGCCUAAAUUUCCAAUUUAGUGAUCGGGUUUAGUGCUUGAGGGAACAUAAGGCCGAGGAAGUGUGGGCCAUAGAAUUGGGCCUUCUUUCUAUAUUCUUAUUUUGGCAUUUCUUUACCCUACUUGAAUCCCAUCCCACAUCGAGCAGUCACGAAAGAAAUGAGAUGUUCAAAUUACAAGCUUCCUCGUGAUCAAGAAGUGGCAUCAAAGUUCCGGGGAAAUAGGGGGGGGGAACUCCAGGGGCCCAGGGGGAGGGGGGGGGGGAACGCCAGGGGAAUCAGGCAGACAUGAGUGAGUAACUCCCCGCCUCGCCGGAGCUGCUGACCGUGUUGAAUCCAUCCACAAUGACUGGCAGCAUAGCACAACAUCUCCACCCACACCUCACUCACCAUCUUCCAUUUCUCUCCCAUCUCCAUAUUCAGUGAUCUCAACUCCUUGGCAAGCCUACAUGCCUCGAAUAACACUGACUUGCUUUUAUCUCCUUUCACCUCUUUGGGCUCAACUUCUGUGUCAACUUCAAGCAACAAUCUGCAAGCUUCAUUUCUGUUAGAUAUGGACUCACUUCUUUGCUGGAAGAAUCUUUUGGUCUCUGAACAAGUGUCUCGGAAUCUAAACUCCCCUAUCCCUUUUGGCAGCAUAAAUGGACACAUGACUAGCAGAUACAACAUAUACUCAGACAAGCAUUUGCUUAUUUUGCAUCUUGAUUUAGGAUUGGGGUCAUCAUCAGAAUAGCUACAGAGAUCUGUUGCAAUAUGCCAAAGAAGGAUGCUGUGAUCAAAUUUCACGUCAACUAUACUCCAACCAAGUGUCUCAAUAACCCGCCUUUUUGUAAUCACAUAAUCACCUCUGUGUUUCAGUAGUGACCUGAGAUCCCUGACAUCAUUUGUCAUCUCUAGGAGCAAGCUGAAGAUCGGUUCCUUCAUGUCAUCCACCUUCUCCCAAGUCAUGUACCAGUACCUCUCUAAGAAAUUGUUCAUGUCAAGGAACCUGGGAACCUGAUUGAACUUGGUUUUGUCUCUGAGGCAAGAAUCAAUUAAAUUGUUCUGUGCCAUUCGUCUAGACCAUCUCUUGUCACUGGUUAUAACUGAUCUAAAAGAGGUAAUGGCUCGGUAAAUGGAAUCAGCCAGGGAGUUCGUCUUGCUGCUCAACCAGACAAUGCUCCAGUCGGACAAAAUCAGCUUAGUGAGGGCAUAAACCUCAAGAAAAAUAGCUCCAAAGAGUAAUAAGUAAGUAAUGUCGAUGUCAAUGUUUGAGAACUGGUGCUUAUCGAUGAAGAAGUGGAAGGCCGCUAAAGUAGAAAUAGUGAAGGAGAAGCUGGUGGAACGGAGCAGAAUGCCAAGUAGAGAAUAAAUCACUGUUGCCUUGGUGUAUAGCACAUCAUACAUAAAAUUGAGCUCCAUCUCCACCACUUUGAAGGCGUCUUCGGAUGACAUGUACCUGAUGAUGCCCUCACUGGUUUUUUGGUCAUCCAAGCUGAGGAUGAGGUCUGCAUAUAGAUGCUUGAAUUGGUUCUUGAAUAAGAAGUAAGCUUUGUCAAUAUAUUUUCUACUAGGAACAGUAAUGUCAUCACCAACGGUAGAUUGAAGUGGAUUUUCACCAGUCUUUUCUUUCCUGAUUCGCUCAGCCUGCGUGUCGUAAUUCCGUGAACUAUAUUUCUCCAUGAAAUGAGCAUAAUCAGGUCCAGGAUCAGGAACUAGAAGCAAAGAAUCUCUAAAGUGAUUCUUGCUUGCAGAUCUCAGAACCCAGGUCCUCUCUCCAUACUUGAUAAUUCCAGCCACAAACAUUGGAAUGGAUAGAAAUGUGAGUGGAGUUCCUGCCCAUGACCUCAGAAACACGUAGAAAGCCACUCCAACUUGGACAACUAGUCCAAGCAAGUGCCUUAACCACAACUCAUUAUCUUCUAAGGAGUAAGCCGUGAUAGUGUCCGGACCACCAAGGUGCAAGAGAAGGAAUGGCGCCCAAAAUGCCAUGAGGGUAUAGUUUGGAUCCAGAAGUUUCCCUUCCGAAUCUCCUUGGCUGUUUGAGAGGGUACCGAGGGAUACUGUCGCCACCCAGUCUGCGGACAAGUAGGCCGACCAAAUCAGGAUUCUGAUCCAAGGCGUGACUGUGUACUUUCGUCGGUUGCUAAAGAUGAUUAGGACGAUUUGUAGGAAAAGGCUUAGUAGAACCAUCAAGCGUAGCUCCCAUUCAUUCCAAAGUUUCCGCAUACUUUCUGGGAAUAUCUGCAUUGCUCUCGCGCCUGUUCUCUGUAAAAAGAUCAAACUGAAAACAACUAGACAUUCAAAAAUAUUAGAG